rnacentral:lncRNA from 1 species
UAAUUCUCAUGUGAAUUUGUCAUUCCUAAGUAUAUCCAUGAAUUACUUCCAAGGCCAAAUCCCUUCAGAAAUCGGAGCUCGUUUGCCAGGGUUAGAAGUUUUAUUUAUGUCUGACAAUGGUUUCAAUGGAAGCAUUCCUUUCUCAUUGGGUAACAUUAGCUCGCUGCAAGUGUUAGACCUGUCCAACAAUAGUUUGCAAGGGCAGAUCCCUAGAUGGAUAGGGAAUAUGUCUUCUCUUGAAUUCUUGGACUUAUCAGAGAACAAUUUCUCUGGUCGUUUACCACCUAGAUUCAACACUUCUUCAAAUUUGAGAUAUGUUUAUUUGUCUAGAAACAAGUUACAAGGACCGAUCGCAAUGACAUUUUAUAACUCCUCUGAGAUAUUUGCACUAGAUCUUUCCCAUAAUAAUUUAACCGGUAGUAUUCCAAGAUGGAUUGACAGACUAUCUAACUUGAGAUUUCUACUCUUGAGUUAUAACAAUCUUGAAGGUGAAAUCCCAAUUCGAUUAUGCAGGUUGGACCAAUUAACCCUGAUUGAUCUAUCUCACAACCACCUUUCUGGUAACAUCCUCUCUUGGAUGAUAUCUACUCAUCAUUUCCCACAACAAUACAAUUCUUAUAAUGAUCUGUCCUUAUCACAACAAUCCUUCGAGUUUACAACGAAGAAUGUAUCCCUUUCUUAUAGAGGCAGCAUUAUCCAGUACUUCACAGGAAUUGAUUUCUCAUGCAACAAUUUCAUAGGAGAGAUUCCUCCUGAAAUUGGAAACCUCAGCAUGAUCAAGGUACUGAACCUUUCGCACAACAGUUUAACUGGACCAAUUCCACCAACAUUUUCGAACUUAAAAGAAAUAGAGAGCUUGGAUCUUUCCUAUAACAAACUGGAUGGAGAAAUCCCACCUCAACUUACUGAACUAUUUUCUCUAGAGUUUUUUAGUGUGGCACAUAAUAAUUUGUCUGGCAAGACUCUUGCGAGAGUUGCACAAUUUGCCACGUUUGAGGAGAGCUGCUACAAGGAUAACCCUUUUCUUUGUGGAGAACCGCUACCCAAGAUUUGCGGUGCAGCUAUGCCACCGUCAUCGACGCCAACUUCAACGAAUAAUGAAGAUGAUGGUGGCUUCAUGGAUAUGGAGGUUUUUUAUGUGACCUUUGGGGUUGCAUACAUCAUGGUGCUGCUGGUGGUAGGUGCAAUUCUGUACAUAAAUCCAUAUUGGCGACGAGCUUGGUUUUACUUUAUUGAGGUGAGCAUCAACAAUUGCUAUUAUUUUCUGAUGGACAAUCUUCCCAUUUUAUCCAAGUUUUGAUUUUCAUAGCCUUGAUGGUACUAAGACUUGGUGCAUAUCGUUGUGUAUUCUAGUUUUAAGAUUUAAACAAGUUUAAAUGCAUGCUUAAGCGAUGUUGUCUUAAUUUUCAUUUAUGUUUUGUUUUUCAUUUUAGCUUCUGUGUGAUAUAAUAAUUAGAUUUCUUCAUUGGUUAAUGUGGGCAAGUAUUUUCAGUUCAAUUCGUUUUUGGUUUGGUGCAAUUUUAUUUAGCAUUUAGCGGGGGCUUUUCAAGCCCAUAAAUAAUUCCAUGAGUUUUACUUUUCAUUGUCUUCAUACCUUGUAUAUUACAUUAUUACUGGAUUUAUAUGGAUGAUCAAUUCAAAUUUACAACACAAAAAUAUCUGAAAAUAUUAUUGUUAAAAACACAAAUUUGCAUUAUCUUCCUGUGCUGAAUUCAUCAAAGAAUAUGGAUUUGUCUUGGUAGUUUUCUUUUCUUGGUACCUAAUAUUUCUUGAAGUCACAAUUGAUCUAAAGGCAAGGUUGUCCUAAAAGAAUUUCAUCAAUUUAGCUUACAGGAUAUAUUCACAUUCCAAGCACCUUACCAGUUCUUGCUGAAGUUGCUUAAUUUGCUGGAAAACAAUUUGUGUUUGAAUGACUCUUACUCUCAAUAAUAGCAUCUUCCAAACCAGCCUUGCUCAAGCUAUUAAGAACACAACUUACCAUUCAAUAUUUUAGCUGGAGUCAUGAGCCAGAAGAUAUAAUCCCUCCGGAUGCACUGUUCAAUGGCUGAAAGAGGCAACCAAGUUUUCAACUUUUCCACCUGUAUAUGCAACCAAUGUUUGGAAUGUAACCUUCUCUCUUCAUCUCCUCAUUCAGCAAUUGGUAUAUGUUCACCGAAUGAUGAUUUAAGUUGUCACCAGCAUGAAAUUCAUGAACACGAGCUCCAAUGUCAAUCCAGUUACAGCAAGGGGUUUUAGAGACACCACACUGCCUCAUCCACACCCUUGUGUUUGCAGAAUCAUCCCACCUUCUCAUAUUUGCACAUAUCUUAGAUAAGAUAACAUAUUUUCCUGAAUUUGAUAGCUCCAUCUCUAGAAACAAUUGAAUGACCCUUUCACCAACAUCUGCAUUUCUACACCUCUGACAGAUACCAAGCAAUGACCCCAACACAAUUUCAUAUGGUUUUCCAAGCAUCUUCUUGAUUAAGUCCCAAGCUUCGUUCAGAAGUCCUGCACGCGCACAAAGAUCAACCAUGCAAGAAUAAUGCUCGACUUUUGGGACCAAUCCAACCAAUCCAAAUGACAAAGUCAUUGAUUCAAAAACUCCCACAUUUUGCAUACAUAUCAAUUAAUGCACUCGCAACAUAGACAUCGUGUUGUAAACCUCUUUCUGAUGCAUAUGUCUCAACCCAUUUCCCCAAAUCAAAGGCCCCUAUUGUGGAACAUUCCGACAAUAUAUACUUCAAUCAUUAUGACUUUAUCUGGUUUAGGACCUGUCUCUCUCAUUCCAUUGAAUAGUACAAUUACUUCAUUGGAAGCUCCAUUCUGUGAGCACCUAUGAAGUGAUUGUUGAACAAAAAAAAAAUCAUACUAACUUGAAACACAUUUACAAAUUUCAUAUAUCCGUGUGGUUUUUAUUUCAUAGCUGAUUAAUUGGGAAGAAUUCAAAUUUCUAGUUAGUUCAAAGGAACAGAAAUAGACAAUUCCAUUAAAUGUGACAAUUACAAAGUAUAAAACCGAUCUAAUUACCCUGUGAUAAUGGCAUUCCAAGUGACAACAUCCUUGUUUGGCAUUGAAUCAAAGACCCUCCUCGCAAAUAUCAAAUCCCUACACAUACCAUACAUGUCAAUCAAAGCAGACCCCACAUAUGAAUUUACCUCCACCUUCUUCUCCAAAACAAACCCCUCCACCCAUCUCCCCAAACCCAAAUCCCCACACGCCCCAAGAACACUCACCAACGUCAUCUCAUCUAGCUCAAACCCCUUCUCCCUCAUUUCCAUAAACAACCCAAAUGCCUCUUUAGCAAAACUCGUCUUAGAAUACCCCGAGAUCAUCGAAUUCCAUGACACCAACUCUCUCUCAUCCAUUUCAUCAAACACCAUCCGUGCAAACCCCAUUUCACCACACCUUUUGUACAUUGUAAUCAAAGAACGAUUCACGUACUCAUCACCAUCCAAACCAGCCUUAAACACCAGACGAUGAUCGAUCUUUCCAUGAAGCAAACCCCAAACAUUCCCACACGCUAUAAACAAAAAAGGGUAUGUAAAAUUAUUUGCUUUUAGGCCUAAAGACUUCAGCUUGUAAUAUAAUUCAGCACAAAAAUCAUACUGUUUCCAUGUGGUAGCUAUGUGGUAGCUAACCCACGAAGCAUGACAUUGAAGGAAUUGUUUGGUGAUUUGAUUAAAAACAAGGGAUGCAUAGGCCAAGUCUUUGAGGUCAAUGAUUUUGGAAAGGAAAUUGGGUUCUGGUAUUGAGUUUAUAAGCAUUUAUGUGUGGAUUUGUUUUAAUAGGUUUUUGGAUUUGCAUUGUUUUAUCAGAGACAAAAGCUUUUGAGUUAAGGUUUGAUGUUCUUUUUGGGUUUGGAAGUUGAGGUUUGAAAAAGCGAGAUGGUAGGGGGUAGAAAGAGCUAGGUCUUGUCUUGAGCAUUGUUUUUGGAACUCAACUUUGCAUACACUUUCAAAUUUUAUCCCAUCAUCAAACAAUCUAAUUCUAAUAUAAUAGAGGAAAAACAGUAAAAAAUAAUAAAGCAAAAUUAAAAAAAAAAAAAUUAAUCUUAAAAAAGGAAAGAAAAAAGUAAACUCGGAUAAAUUUUUUAAACUUGAUCUAAUAUCUAAAACUUAAAACUUGUUAAAUUCUAGACCCAACUUUAAUAAAAAAGAUUAACGAUCAAUCAAUUUAAUUUUGAACAAUGAAAUCAUUGAAAAAUAUUAAUAAAAAUAACUUGCAAAAACAAAAAAAAAAUAGCAUAAAAAAAUAAUGAGGAUAAGAUUUGAGAGAACAAAAUCCAAGGAGGAUGAAGUUUGAUAAAAAACAAUUUUAAAAAAUGAUUUCAUAUAAAGUAAAUAGCAAGGAUAAAAAUUUAAAAGAUUAAAAAAUUACAGGGGAUUGAAAUAUAUUUAUAGUUUGAUAUAUUAUUUAUAAAUUAAAAAAUAAUAAUCCAACUGUAAAAUUUUUUUGUUUAUUAUAAAAAAAUAAUCUUACUCACAAAGCUUACUUCAUUGUUUUUUUUUCAAGGACAAAUAUAUAAUUAUACAAUUAUAAUGAAUAGUAAUGUCUGAAUAGAUUAAUAAGGUAAAAUUAUAAAAAAAAUAAUCUUAAAAAAAAGAAAAAAAAUAAACAAACUCGAGUGAAUCUUCUAAACCUGGUCUAAUAAUGUCUAAAACUUGAAAUUUGUUAAAUUCUAGACCCAGCUUUAAUAAAAAAGAUUAACUCUUAAUUAAUUUAAUUUUUAACAAUGAAAUCAUUGAAAAAUAUUAAUAAAAAAACUUGUAAAAGCAAAAAAAAAAAUAGCAUAAAAAAAUAAUGAGGAUAAGAUUUGAGAGAACAAAAUACAAGAAGCAUGAAGUUUGAAAAAAAAUAAUUUUAAAAAUGAUUUCAUAUAAAGUAAAUAGCAAUUAAAAAAAUAAGGAUAAAAUUUGAAAGAUUAAAAAAUUAUAGGAGAGUGAAAUUGAAAAGCAUUUAUAAUUUGAUAUAUUAUUUAUAAAUUAAAAAAAACUAUAAAGAAUUAACCCAAUAUAAUCAAACCAAAAAAAAUAUACAAUUUUUUGUUCAUUAUAAAAAGAUAAUCUUACUCUCAAAGCUUACUUCGUUGUUUUUUUUUUUGAAGGACAAAUUUAUAAUUAUAUAAUUAUAAUGAAUAGUAAUGUAUGAAUAGAUACGCAUUAACAUCACCGGGAGCUUUAGUGUUUUUGAAAAUGAUAAUAAUUGAUCAGCAUUUAUAUUAAGAUGGUUGCCUCUUGGUUGCUUGAAAAUAUAUGUUUUUUAUUUAUUUAAAUUAUUAUAGUUUUAUAUAUUUUUGUUUAUUAUUGUUACUUUUUAUUCAAUAAACUAUAAUGCUAAUAAAAACUCCUUUUGUUUUGAAAACAAAAAAAAUUACAUAAUUCAAAAAAUACAUUUUCUUUUAUAAUUUUAUUUACUAUUUCUUUUUGUUAAUAUUUGUUUUUAUUAUCUUAUAAUUGAAUAAAAAACAUUUUUAUUUUUUAAUUUUUUUGAUGUGAAGAUGUUAAAAAUAAUUUUAAAUUAAAAUUGAUUUUAAUAACAUUGAUGAGAUGAAUCCGUGAGAUUAUAUUGCCCUGUAAGCUUGAAAAGGGAUAAUAUGUUUUAAUUUCAUCUUGUAUAAGAAAAUAAAUUUCAAUUUAGUGUGUUAGAAUGCAACCACCGACUAAUUAAUGGACAAUGGACCUUAGAUUAAUAUACUAUCAUUUUUUUUUUGUUUUCUAGUCAUAUUUAAUUUUUCAUCAAGUGAUUAAUAUGUAUAGUUCAAUGGGUAUAGUUCUUAACGUUAAAUGCUAUGUAUUUAGAUUUUUUUUUUAAUUAAUGUGGGUAUUCGGGCCAGCUUGCGCGCACCUUGACUAAUCUCACUGGUCCUGAAGUUAACGACCAUAUAAGCCUCAGUGACCCUGAGGUUUGUGAGACUCGAACUGGUGACCUCUAAGGAGUAAAUCUAGAGUCUGAACAGUUGAGUUACACCUUUAAAGUUAUGUAUUUAGAAUUUCAGGGCUAAAUAUGGCUGGGUUGAUUAACGAUAUUUUUCUCUAUUUAUCGCUGGAAUUUGAUGAUCUUUCUCUCUCAUUUCUUAAUUAGGGAUUAAAAAUAAAAAAAAUAAACUUUUAUAUUAAAAUCAAAUUGGAAAAAUGUUGAGGUAUUGAAAUUGUAUGAUUUGCUUGAUUUUUAAAGUUUAAGGAUCAAAGUACAUCAUUUACGAAACUUAUGGCAAGAUACCCAUGUUUGAUGUCUUUUUUUCAUUUUGAUCCUUGUUCUUUCAAUCUUAUCUUUUAACGUAUAUUUUUAAUUUUUUUAUAACCAUGGUAAAAACACAAAUAUUUGGUCAGGAGGGCUUGAAUUUGAGUUGGAAAAAAACUUGGUGUGAAAACAUCAACCUUUGUGAUGAUCAACAUUUACCAAAGUUUAGAUGGAAAAAUUGACUACAACAAUAGCGUUGGAAAUUUAAAUUUAUUCAUAGCAAAAACAAAAAUAUUAAUAGGAUUUGUCUUAUUAAUAUUGGCCAAAUGAAAAAUUAACAAAAAAACUAUUACUUAUCAUUGACUUUUCUACUUCUCUAAAACACCCGUCUUUGCAAGCACUCAGUGGCCUGCUAUGAUCAAAUGUGUUUGCAUAGAAUUCUUUAUUUAUGUUUUCGCAACCUACUAAACAAGUCAAAUUAAAUCUCAAAUUUAAAAAUUAACUCAAUUAAAAUAUUUAUUAUUUUAAAAUUCUACCGUCCAUUUAAUAUAAAUAAUAUUUCACUUUAAUUUUUCCCCUCUCUCAACACCAUUUCAGUAUAAUGCAAGUAUAAUAAUAAUAUAAAAAACAAUAAUUUCUUUAAUAAAAAGGUAAUUUCAAUGCUAUUUUUAGGAGGAGAAUAAAUUAACAAUGGUGUUUUUUUUUUUGGAUCACAUCGUAUAAAAAAUCCUUCAAUUAUGAUGUUAUAACAAAGAGGUCCACCAAGAGCUUUCCUCGCUUAGGCUUGGGUAGAUUCUAGCUGCAGUUCAUGUCUAGUGCCAUACAAGAGAGAAAUGCUUUAUUUUUGUGAGAAUUGAACCUCUUAGCUGAUGAAUUAGAGAAACAUUCUCUUACCAUUAUUCCCUUGCAAUCCUCGGUGGAGUUAAAUUUCUCUUGUUACGCAAGUUGUUAGGUCUACUUGCAGUGUCGUUUUGUUAUGAGUCAUGAAGGAAGAAAAUUAUUUUAUUAUUCUCUGACAAUAUUGAGUCCCAUACUCAUCAAUAUAUUCAAAUUUGCUCCUUUUUACUCAAUUUCAUUUUAUAAAAUGCAAGAAAUUGUUCUUUGAGGACCGUACCUUAAUCCAUUGUCCAGCAUUCUGGUGAUGGAGUCCUGAUAUUAUUUCAAAGGGAGCCAAAACUCUGUGGGACACCCUAAUUGAAUAAGUUUAUAAACCAAAUUAACAAACAAAAUUCCAACAAGACAACUUAAAAUAGAUCAAUUUAGAAAGUUGACACUAUUACAGUGGCCACGAAGUUCUUAGAGGCAUUUUUUAGGUCAAAAUCCACUCUAAAUGUGUGUUAGAGAGAGUCAAUGUAAUAUUUUUUUGAUUGGCUUGGUAUUGGAUUCUUGAGAUGUCAUGAAAAAAAAAUUCAGCCCUCAAUUUAUAUUCUAUUUGAGAAAAUAAAUUUUGAUUGUAAUUAUUUCAAACAAUCAAAGCUUCAAGAGUAUAUUUGAAAUUGAAACAAAUGUGCUACAUUUUAGUAUUGUUUUUUUUUUUGUCACUCGAGUUUUUCUCUUCUCAAUUUCUUUUAAAUUGGGUUGAUUUAUGAUUGAACUUGAUGAUUUGCUAAUGUUGAUCUUUUGUGGCGUUCUCGAUGUCCCAAGAAAAUAAUUCGGCGAUCAAUUGAUGCUCGACUUGGUAAAAUAAAAUUUGAUUAUAUUGAUUUAAAACAAUUGAAACUAUAGGGAUCAAAUUUAAAACUGGUGCAAAUAUUCAGCUCAUUUUUUCUCAAGCCAAGGACUUAAGUGAAAAAAAAAAGAAGGGAAAAGUGCUAAAGCAGAGCCAACGUCUUCACGGUUACCACGCACACUAGCGUCUCAAUUCUAUUCUUUUUGCAUGUAAAGCGAAUGGUAAGAUUCUUUUUUAAUUACAUCCAUUUUUUAUUUGUUGUUUUUUAUAAAUAUAUUUAACUAACAACAAUGUUCUCUUAUAGGCUACGGUUUUUUGAUGCGAACCAAGCCCGAUAGAGCUUUUGUGGAAACGCAUGUGCACACUGAUGACCGCAAAAAUGAGGUGCAAUAGCUCAUGGAUAGCUGAGCUCAGUACUUUGUGGUAUGUUAUUUUCAACCAUUGUUUUCCUUAAGUUAUUAUUUUUAUGAAUUUGUUGACUCUUUUUUUCCAGUAUACAUAUAACAUCGUGUUGAAAGAGAGAUACGUUGACGAUUCUUCGACCCAUCCUAAUCUCGAUCCGGAUUUGUGGUUGAAGAUAGUAUUGUUUGGUGGACCCUAUAGAAAUCGGGUGUACGGUCUCUCUAACACUACAUCCGAGUUCUUGCAAACAACCCAUAAUUUCUCAACUACUGGGUUCUCACAAUCGAUUCUAAGCACUCAAACUCUAGGUUCGAGGCGGUUUUAGAUCAACAAGUUAAGGAUCAAAUGACCCAUUUUGCUGUUGAUUAUGAACGACUUGGUGCUAAGACGACCGAACUUCAUCAAUUGUAAUGGAGAUGAGAUCACAUAUGGAUGGUACAAGUGCUCCCUCUUAUUCACCCCACGGUCCAGGCGAAAACUUGUCUCUUCCUCCUUCUCCAAUGCCUUUAUUCUAGAUUAAUUGUAUUUGAAGUUAUAAAUGUUUAAAUUUGUAAUAAAUAUUUGAAUUUUUUAUUAAUUUAAUUUUUUUAAUUAUUUUUUAUUUCUGUUUAAUAGAUUUUUUCAAAUAUAUAUAUUUUUAAAUUAUUAUUGACGGGUUACUGACAGAUAUAGUCUGUUUAAAUAUUCCAGAGAGUAGAAAAAGAUUUGUUUAAAUCGUGUGAAAGUUAAGUCAGUCUAUAAUUAAUUAAUUGAGAAUUUGAACUCGUUGGAAAAGUUUUGCAUGGACUUUUGUUUUCUGGAGAAAACUCCCUUAAAACCCUUGAGCAUCACCUUCUCUGAAAUACCUUCUCUAAAAUAUCUGUCUUUGCCAUAACUCAGGGCUCUGUGUCUUCUUAAGGUGAAUUAACAAGUUUCAACUCAACUCUGUAUCUUUUCUAGAUAUGUCUGUGACUGUGCCCCAUAAAGAAUUCCUCUUUUUCUCACAACCUAUUUAACAAUUUAUCCAUCAAGUUUUUGAUCAACCAUUAGGAUUUUCUUGGGAAAUGCUUGGUUUGAUUUAUUUUCUGUUAAUCUUAGAAAAUAUAUUUGUUCCUUGAUAGAAAUUUCUUGGAAAUAAUGAGUUUGUUAGAAAAUAAUAUAAAUCAUAUCUUUAGAACUCACCUAACAGCUUAAGCUAUUGGGUUGAGACGAUUCUUUGACGUGGUAUCAAAGCCUUAAUGACCAAACGGUCACGAGUUCGAAUUUCACCAUCCCUAUUUAUUUGAUAAAAAUUAAGUAUAAGGUAAUGUGGGUUUAUGCAAGUUUCAAGUCUAAAGAAUUUUCAAUUAAGAAAAUAUAUUAAAAAAUAAUAUAACUUAAACUAUUAAAUUAAAAUUGAGAUGAUUCUCUAUAGAGUUAUACUGCAUUUUGACUUUGCUGGCGUACCAAAUAAAUAAAGAAUUCCUCUUGAUAGAAUUUUCUUGGAAAUGAUGAGAAUAUUUUAGAAUUUUCUGGGUUGACGCCAGCAGUCAACAACUAUCUUCCAUUUCCUUGGCAUCGUGUUCCAUGCCUUUGCAAAAUAUUAAAGGCUCCAAUGCCUCUCUAGCAAUAAGAUUAUUUUUUUAUUUUUCCCCGAAUACAUGUGUCAUUUAUCGAAAUAAUUAAUUUAAUCACACAAAAAAGAAGAAGAAAAGAUCCAACUAGCAUGCCAUUCCACAAAACAAAAAUAAUUAAAAUCUUAAGUUUGAUCUAUAGAAGUCAUCAGUUUGAAUUUCACAAACCUCAGGAUCACUGGAGGCUUAUAUGGUCAUUAACUUCAGGGCCCGUGGAAUUAGUCGAUGUGCGUUCAAGCUGGCCCGGACAUUCACGUUAAUAAUAAAAAAAAGAACCAGCUGCCAUUUCUUAUCAAUCAAGAAUUAAGAAAAAAAUCACUAAUAAUAAGAUUAAAAAUAAAUGUGUUAUUUAUCAAAAUAAUUAAAACCAGCUCCAAUGCCUCUCUAAUAAUAAGGAUUUUUUUAUCUUUCCUAAAAUUAAUAAAUGUGUUGUUUAUCGAAAUAAUUAAUUUGUAGCAAUUUUUAUUAUGAUUUGGAGCUCUGUUAAUUAGGCAACAUUUGAUUAUUAUGUGAUAUAAAAUACAAAUAAGGACAAAAAAGAUAUGUUUGUAUGUAUUUUUUAGAAACAAUUUCUCUGUAUUGUAUUUUUAAUCAUAUAUGUUUUUAUUUUUUGAAAAUACAAAUAGAUCAGGAAGAAUUCCUCUUGAAAGAAUUUUCUUGGAAAUGAUGAGAAUAUUUUAGAAUUUUCUGGGUUGACGCCAGCAGUCAACAACUAUCUUCCAUUCCCUUGGCAUCGUGUUCCAUGCCUUUGCAAAAUAUUAAAGGCUCCAAUGCCUCUCUAGCAAUAAGAUUAUUUUUUUAUUUAAUCACAAAAAAAAAAAAAAAACAAAUAGAUCCAACUAGCAUGCCAUUCCAAUACAAAUAGAGGCAGAACAACCGUAGGUGCUGAGGAUGUAAAAAGCAGUUUCUCUAUGUUCUUAAUCAAAAGUAUUUCAUUAAAAAUGUAAAAAGCAGUUUCUCAUUAUGGCGGUGGGAAAUUGCCGCUCAAGUUCUAACUUUUGGGCUUUAUUAAGUCAAGCAUGUUUCAUUAUUUUAAAAAUAAAUUUAUUUUAUGAUACAAAUGAAUCUGCUAAGUGGAAGAACAACCGUGCUGUGUACGUUAAAAAACAGUUCCUUUGUUCCCCGUCAUGUUUCAUUAUUUCUUUUAUGGGAGUGCGAGAGGGUUUGUGGGAAAUUACGUGCCUCUAGCUUCUAUUAUUAUUAUUAUUAUUAUUAUUAUUAUUAGCGUGGGUAUCCGGACCAGCUUGCGCGUACCUCAACUAAUCUCAUGGGCUUUAAAGUUAAGGACCUUUUAAACUUUCAGUGGCCCAGCUUUGUGAUACUCAAACUGAUGACAUCUAGGGAACAAAUCUAAAAUCUGACCAGUUGAGUUAUACCUCUUAGGGAUCCUCUAGCUUUCUAAUUGAAAGGGUUAUGCUUAUCUAGAAACCACUAGUGAUGUUGAUGUGGUUCCUUUAUGUUAUCUAGAAACCACUUGCUCAGAUUUUGAUAAAUUCUUAGUUUGCUCCUUCAUAUUUCUUCAUCUUGAAAUUUUAGUUAGUAACAAUCGCCUUUUAUAAUCUUCAUUGUUAAAAUCAAUUUUUUUUUAAUAUAAAAAAAAUAUUGAAUCAACAAUAACUUGAGUGAAUCCUUGUUAACUUGAUUUACUCAUAACCUAGGAUAGUCCUGAAAGAAGUAAAGAGAAAAAAAAAAGUUCAAGUCCCAACAAAACUAAUUUCCAUAAAUAAAAUUGAAAGAGAAAAUUAAAAAUAAAACGUGAAAAGCCCCGCGUUCACUCUGCUAACUUACCACUUGCAACAUGAGAUUGUGAUAAGAAAAUCAUUUUAAAAAAUAACCAAGAAAAAAAAAUCAAAGCUAAAUAAAUAAGAAAACAUUGAGAAAAAACUCGAGUCAUUUUUAGGCUAACCUAAUGAACAUGCAACCCGAGAUAACCCUGUAAAAAGAAAAAAAUAUAAAAAUAAGAAAUCUCUAGACAUAAUAGCCUAACAUUAAAGGAUAAAAUUAAAAAAAAUAUUGAAAAAAAAAACAAAAUAUGCCAAAGUGUCAAGCCUUUCAUUCUUUUAAAAGGAUUAAUGGACAUCAUAAAAUUUCAACUAAUAUAUAUAGAGGCACUGCAUGACCAAAAGGAUUCAUUGGUGAAUUGUUUAUAUUGGAUGUAAAUAUAUUACAAACAAUUAUCCACAUCCAAAGUUAAUGGUAUAUUUAUAAAAUUAAAAAUAAUUUUUUAGGACCCUCUUUUUCAAUUCGAAUCUUGAAGGAUAAAAGAAGUAUACCCACUUUGUGACAAUAAUAUUAAUGUAUAGACAAAGUGAAGAAAAUAGAACAAACGUGUUUUUCCCACUCCAACCCGCUAAUUAAUUCAUAUAAGGAGGAAGAGUGGAAGCUUCUCUAUUUCUUGAAAGGCUAAUCUUUCACGAAUUUUAUUUUUUUGGAAUGUCUUCACAGCAAGACAGGUUUGUUCCAUAGAAAGUGAUUUUCUGUAAUCUAUUUUUUAAAAAAAUUUCAUGUUUCUUUAGUAAAGAUACUAGUUAAUGAAAUAUAUAUAUUUUCCGGUAAAAGAAAAAUUUGGCUUGGUUUUUAUGAAAAUAUUUUUCUUUCUUUUGGACGGAAAAAACUUUCUAAAAAUUGUGAAAAAUUUAAAAAUAUUUUGUUAUUAGAUGAUUAUAUCAAAUUUGAUCAUUAAACUUUUAAUUACUAACAUUUUUUUAAUAGAAAAAAUUUAAAUAUUAAAAAUAUAACAUGGUCUACUCGACAGAUCCAAAUACAACCUGUAGGAUAGUUAAAAAUAUAUAGUUUGAUUAAAAAAUAAAAAAAACCAAGAUAAUAUCUUUUAAAAAAAAUAUUAAGACUAAAACAUAUUAAAUUGAUCCUAAUCAACUCGGCUAAACCUGUCAAAUCUGAAAUCUGAACUAUGAGACCGAGAUAACCCCAUAAAAAACAAAUCGAAAUAAAUUAUAAGCUCAAUUCCUAACCAACCCAAUAUUGAAGGAUAAGAUUGAAAUAAAAGAUAAAUAAAAAAACAUAAAACAAAUAACUCAAAUUAACCCAAGUUAACAUGCCAAGCCCACAACCCAAGUCAUGCAACUAGGAUAACUACAUAUAAACUAAAUCAAAACAAAUUAUGAAAUAUAAUUCUCAAUCAACCAAACAUUGAAUGAUGAAAAUGAAAAAAAAAAACUCAAUUAAAAGUUCAUAAAAAACCUAACCUGGGUUAACUUGAUUUAACCCGUCAAACCUGUAACACAAGUAAUAAGACUACGAUAACCUCAUAGAAAUAAAAAUAAAAUAAAAUUAUGAAGCCUAUUUUCAAAUCAGGAUGAGAUUGAAGAUAAAAACCCUAAGUUAAGCCGUCAAAUUCACGAUUCGAAUAAUGAGAUCGAGAUAAGCAAACCUAAUAUUAAAGAAUGAAAUUAAAAAAAAAAACCUUACAAAACAUAUAUGGUUUAACAAUAUUAAUCAACUCUUAAAAUAUUUCAUUAUAUAUAUAUAUAUAUAUAUAUAUUAAAAAUAAAUAUUAAGAACUAUUAUAUCAAUUUAUGAAUGUGUCAAUUUGAAUGCGAAUUAUAUUUGUAAAAUGUUAUAAAAAAAAUUAUAUACGACAUUAAUGUUUUGUUCAUUGAAACCAAAGUUAGACCUGGUACUUGGAUCAGGAUUUAUGUCAUGGUUUGAGCAAAUUAGCUUAUAUUGACAGGUGUCAAUCUAAGAUUAUGUUAUUUUAAGAUAUUUUAAAAAAAAAAUAAAAAUUAUUUAAUUAAAAAAAUAAAAAUAGGUUUUGAUUAAGUUAACUAUAGUAUGGAUUGACUGGUCAACUCUCAUUUAAUUUUUUCUAAACCUAGACCAAAUUAAAUCUCAGGUGAACCUUUCAUGCCGAACCAAAUUUAAUAAGGCUGAUUCCUUCUUGGAAGGUUGACCCCAAGUCAAAGUUGUUUCUCUUAAAAACAUGAAUAAAGGUUAAUGCUAUGAGCUCACUUUCCAUUUUCAAGAGAAUGAUGGAUAUAGAAAACUCGCUACUUUCAAGGUUAAUGCUGUGGUCAUGUUAGAGUUGUUGCGAUUAAUUUUUAAAAUAUUUUUAUUUUGAAAUAAAUUAAAAUAAUAUUUUUUUAAAAAAAAAUUUAUUUUUAACAUCAACAUAUUAAAAUAAUUUAAAACAUAAAAAAUAUUAAUUUUUAAUAAAAAAAUUAAUUUUUUUAAAAAUACGAGUUCCCUCACAUUUCGAGACGCUCUAUUAGUGACAAAUCAUGCCUUUCGAAUUUAAUGGAAAUUACGUGUGGCAGAACUAAAAGUGCUCCUUAUACAUUUGUGAUUCGACAGUUAGUAGUGAUGAUUAUUUUUUAAAUUAAUCUAAAUUAAUUUUAUAUUAGUUUUUUCCACGGCAUGGGUCCGUGAAGUCCUCUAUAAAAGCCUGAGCCUCCUCGCUAGCUGUCCUCUAUAACAAAUAUUGAUCACCAUUUAUAUUCUGAUAUUUAGAUGGGGCUGUUCCUUCAGAUGUUGACGGUGUUUGUAACGACGGUUUCCCUGCAAGGAUGGCUGCCCCUUGGUUGCUUGGAUGAAGAGAGAAUCGCUCUGUUGCAGCUCAAAGAUGCUCUUAACUAUCCCAAUGGCACAUCUCUUCCCUCCUGGAUAAAAGCUGACGCCCACUGUUGUUCUUGGGAACGUAUUGAGUGCAGCAGCAGUACAGGUCGAGUCACCGAACUCUAUCUUGAGGAAACAAGGAAUGAGGAACUGGGAGAUUGGUACUUAAAUACCUCCUUGUUUCUUCCUUUUCAACAACUCAACUCUCUCUCCUUGUGGGGUAAUCGUAUAGCUGGUUGGGUUGAGAAGAAAGGUUUGCUCUCUUAAGUAUUACAAAAUAUUUAGAUUAGUUUUGCAUUUUUAAAUUAAUCAAAUAAGGUGUUGUUUGAUUAGUAUCAUUUUGGUUCUCCACAGUAAUUCAUCCAUCGAAGAAAAUAUUUAGUAAAAAGGUGUUGUUUAAUUCCUUACAUUAUUAAUAUAACCGCAACAUAUAUUAUUACAUUACCAAUAUUAUUACAUCACCACUGUAACAAUUACUCCUCUUAAGAGUAAUUAAUUACAUGCCUCUUGAUCAAUCAAUCAUAAUUAAAUUACUUCGAUAAUAUUUUUUUAUUUUUUAGCUGAAGUCUUAACUUAAUUUUUUAUAUAUAUAGGUGGUUAUGAGUUGCAAAGAUUGAGAAAUUUGGAUUAUCUUGACUUGGGAUCAAAUAGUUUGGAUAACAGUAUUCUAUCAUUCGUGGAGGGGUUUCCGUCUCUUAAAUCAUUAUAUUUAAAUUAUAAUAGACUAGAAGGGUUAAUAGAUUUGAAAGGUUAGUUUUUUUAUAUACUAUUAUUUUUAGUUAACUGUUAAAUUUAAUUUCAAAAUACACAAUUUAAUUUAUGUGGUGUAGUGAAUUAAUUAACUAUUAUUUUAUAUAAAUAUCAAGAAUCCUUGAGCAGCUUGGAGGUCUUGGGUUUGAGCGGCAACAAUAUUAACAAAUUGAUAGCCUCAAGAGGUAAUUAAUACUUAGUAGCAUCAUGAUGAUGAGCCCAUCCAUACAAUAUUAAUUAUUCAGUUUCUUCCCUAACUAACUUGCAGGUCCAAGCAACUUGACUACUCUAUACCUACAUAAUAUCACAAUGUAUGAAAGUAGCUUCCAAUUAUUGCAAUCAUUAGGAGCAUUCUCAAACCUCACGACACUUUAUCUGACGUACAACGAUUUUAGAGGAAGAAUAUUAGAUGAUGGUAAGUUAUAUUAUAUAUAUAUUUGAGCAGAGUUGCAAAAUUUAAUUGAAAAUUUUGAAAAAUAUAAUAUACGAAAUACAAAGGUAGUGAUGUUUAUAUAUUUGGGUUUAAUUGAAAAAUUCAAUUUGAUAUUCCUUUUCUUUUGAGCAGAGAUGCAAAAUUUAAGCUCAUUGGAAAGUUUGUAUCUGGACGGUUGUUCUCUAGAUGAACACUCCCUUCAAAGCCUCGGAGCACUGCCUUCUCUAAAAAAUCUGACAUUACAAGCAUUUAGUGGAAGUGUACCUUUUAGAGGUAAAUUAACAAAUUUGAACUCCACUAUUACUUAUCAUUGACCUUUCUACUUCUCUAAAACACCUGUGUUUGCAAGCACUCAGUGGCAUGUUACGAUUAGAUGUGUUUGCAUAGAAUUCCUCUUUUAUGUUUUUGCAAUCUACUAAACAAGUCUUGGAGAGACAAUUAAAUCUCAAAUUUAACUCAAUUGAAAUCUUUAUUAUUUUAAAAUUCUACCAUCUAUUUAAUAUAAAUAAUAUUUCACUUUAAUUUUGCCCCUCUCUCAGCACCAUUUCAGUGUAAUGUAAAUAUAAUGAUAACACAAAAAACAAUAGUUUCUUUAAUGAAAAGGCAACUUCAUACAUAGAGAGUGUUAUUUUUAGGAGGAGAAUAAAUUAACAAUGUUGUAUUUUUAUUUUUUGGGUCACACGUAUAAAAAAUCCUUCUCUUAAAUGGCCAACACAAUUUCUACACUUACCUUAUGUUUUUAGUUUUUUUAGCCAUGAUUAAUAAGUAAUGAAUUAUUUCCAAUCUUAAUUCCUUCUAAGUUAAUAUAAUUUCUUGUUUAAUUGAUUGUGACAGGCUUUCUUGAUCUCAAGAACUUGGAAUACUUGGAUUUGAGUUACAAUACUCUAAAUAAUAGCAUCUUCCAAGCCAUCAAAAUGAUGACCUCUCUUAAAACUUUGAUUUUGCAGAGCUGCAAACUAGAUGGCCGAACUAUAGCCCAAGGUAAGUGUAGAUUUAAGUUCCAAUACUCUCGAUAAUAGCAUCUUCCAAACCAUCGGUAAAGUUGAUUACUCUCUCUCUCUCUCUAUAGGUUAUAUAUUUUUCAUUAGACACUUGAAGUUUUAAUUUUUCCUAAAUUAUAAUGUGAUCAGGCCUAUGUGACUUAAAUCAUCUCCAAGAGCUAUCUAUGUAUGACAAUGAUCUCAAUGGUUUCUUGCCUCUGUGUCUGGCAAAUUUGACUUCCCUUCAACAACUAGAUCUCUCUUCCAAUCACUUGAAGAUCCCUAUGUCAUUGAGCCCAUUAUACAACCUUUCAAAACUCAAGUAUUUUGAUGGUUCAGAUAAUGAAAUAUACACAGAAGAAGAUGAUCAUAAUUUGAGCCCAAAGUUCCAGUUAGAGUCCAUCUCUUUGAGCAGUCACGGACAAGGUGCAGGAGCAUUUCCCAAGUUCCUUUACCAUCAGUUCAGCCUGCAAUCUUUGGCUCUUACAAACAUCCAAAUAAAGGGAGAGUUUCCAAAUUGGUUGAUUGAGAACAACACAUACCUACAUGAUCUUUCUUUAGAAAAUUGUUCUCUUUUAGGUCCAUUCUUGUUACCAAAGAAUUCUCAUGUGAAUUUGUCAUUCCUAAGUAUAUCCAUGAAUUACUUCCAAGGCAAAAUCCCUUCAGAAAUCGGAGCUCGUUUACCAGGGUUAGAAGUUUUAUUAAUGUCUGACAAUGGUUUCAAUGGAAGUGUUCCUUUCUCGUUGGGUAACAUUAGCUCGCUACAAUUGUUAGACCUGUCCAACAACAGUUUGCAAGGGCAGAUCCCUGGAUGGAUAGGGAAUAUGUCUUCUCUUGAAUUCUUGGACUUAUCAGUGAACAAUUUCUCUGGUCGUUUACCACCUAGAUUCGACACUUCUUCAAAUUUGAGAUAUGUUUAUUUGUCUAGAAAUAAGUUGCAAGGACCGAUCGCAAUGACAUUUUAUAACUCCUCUGAGAUAUUUGCACUAGAUCUUUCCCAUAAUAAUUUAACUGGUAGUAUUCCAAAAUGGAUUGAUAGACUAUCUAACUUGAGAUUUCUACUCUUGAGUUAUAACAAUCUUGAAGGUGAAAUCCCAAUUCGAUUAUGCAGGUUGGACCAAUUAACACUGAUUGAUCUAUCUCACAACCACCUUUCUGGUAACAUCCUCUCUUGGAUGAUAUCUAGUCAUCCUUUCCCACAAGAAUAUGAUUCCUAUGAUUAUCUGUCCUCGUCACAACAAUCCUUCGAGUUUACAACGAAGAAUGUAUCCCUUUCUUAUAGAGGCAACAUUAUCCAGUACUUCACAGGAAUUGAUUUCUCAUGCAACAAUUUCAUAGGAGAGAUUCCUCCUGAAAUUGGAAACCUCAGCAUGAUCAAGGUACUGAACCUUUCGCACAACAGUUUAACCGGACCAAUUCCACCAACAUUUUCGAACUUAAAAGAAAUAGAGAGCUUGGAUCUUUCCUAUAACAAACUGGAUGGAGAAAUCCCACCUCAACUUAUUGAACUAUUUUCUCUAGAGUUUUUCAGUGUGGCACAUAAUAAUCUGUCUGGCAAGACUCUUGCGAGAGUUGCACAAUUUUCCACGUUUGAGGAGAGCUGCUACAAAGACAAUCCUUUUCUUUGUGGAGAACCACUACCCAAGAUGUGCGGUGCGGCUAUGCCACUGUCACCAACACCAACUUCAACAAACAAUGAAGAUGAUGGUGGCUUCAUGGAUAUGGAGGUUUUUUAUGUGACCUUUGGGGUUGCAUACAUCAUGAUGCUGCUGGUUAUAGGUGCAAUUCUUUACAUAAAUCCAUAUUGGCGACAAGCUUGGUUUCACUUUAUUGAGGUGAGCAUCAACAAUUGCUAUUAUUUUCUGGUGGACAAUCUUUCCAUUUUAUCCAAGUUUUGAUUUUCAUAGCCUUGAUGGUAAGACUUGGUGCAUCGUUGUGUAUUCUAGUUUUAAGAUUUAAACAAGUUUAAAUGCAUGCUUAAGCGAUGUUGUAUUAAUUUUUAUUUAUGUUUUGUUUUUCAUGUCAGCUUUUGUGUGAUAUAAUAAUUCAUUCUUAAUGCGGGCAAGUAUUUUCAGUUCAAUUCAAUUUUGGUUUGGUGCGAUUUUAUUUAGCGGGGGCUUUUCAAGCCCAUAAAUAAUUCCAUGAGUUUUACUUUUCAUUGUCUUCAUACCUUGUAUAUUACAUUAUUACUGGAUUUAUAUGGAUGAUCAAUUCAAAUUUACAACAUAAAUAUCCAAAAAUAUUUAAUAUCAAGGGGAAUACAUUACAACACAAAUAUUAUUGUUAAAAACACAAAUUUGCAUUAUCUUCCUGUACUGAAUUCAUCAAAUAAUAUGGAUUUGUCUUGGUAGUUUUCUUUUCUUGGUACCUAAUAUUUCUUGAAGUCACAAUUGAUCAAAAGGCAAGGUUGUCCUAAAAGAAUUUCAUCAAUUUAGCUUACAGGAUAUAUUCACAUACUAAGCACCUUACCAGUUCUUGCUGAAGUUGCUUAAUUUGCUAGAAAACAAUUUGUGUUUGAAUGACUCUUACUCUCAAUAAUAGCAUCUUCCAAACCGGCCUUGCUGAAGCUAUUAAGAACACAAUUUACCAUUCAAUAUUUUAGCUGGAGUCAUCAACCAGAAGAUACAAUCCCUCCGGAUGCACUGUUCAAUGGCUGAAAGAGGCAACCAAGUUUUCAACUUUUCCACCUCUAUAUGCAACCAAUAUUUGGAAUGUAACCUUCUCUCUUCAUCUCCUCAUUCAACAAUUGGUAUAUGUUCACCGAAUGAUGAUUUAAGUUGUCACCAGCAUGAAUUUCAUGAACACGAGCUCCAAUGUCAAUCCAGUUACAGCAAGGGGUUUUAGAGAAACCACACUGCCUCAUCAACAAUACCCUUGUCUUUGCAGAAUCAUCCCACCUUCUCAUAUUUGCAUAUAUCUUAGAUAAGAUAACAUAUUUUCUUGAAUUUGAUAGCUCCAUCUCUAGAAACAAUUGAAUGACCCUUUCACCAACAUCUGCAUUUCUACACCUCUGACAGGCACUAAGCAAUGACCCCAACACAAUUUUAUAUGGUUUUCCAAGCAUCUUCUUGAUUAAGUCCCAAGCUUCGUUCAGAAGUCCUGCACGCGUACAAAGAUCAACCAUGCAAGAAUAAUGCUCGACUUUUGGGACCAAUCUAGCCAAUCCAAAUGACAAAGUCAUUGAUUCAAAAACUCCCACAUUUUGCAUACAUAUCAAUUAAUGCACUCGCAACAUAGACAUCGUGCGGUAAACCUCUUGAAUAUCUUCGUUUCUCGAUGGACUUUUCCUGAAUAUGGUCGGGUUGAUUAAUGAUAUUUUUUUCUAUUCAUUGUUGGAAUUUGACAACUUCUUUUUCUCAUUUCUCAACUAGAAAUUAAAAAAUAACAAAAAUAAAUUUUUAUAUUAAAAUCAAAUUGGAAAAAUAUUGAGGUAUUCAAAGUUUAAGAAUCAAAAUACAUCCUUUACGAAACUUAUGGGAAGGUAUCCAUGUUUGAUGUCUUUUUUCAUUUCGAUCCUUGUUCUUUCAAUCUUAUCUUUUAACGUAUAUUUUCAAUUUUUUAUAACCAUGGUAAAAACACAAAUAUUUGGUCAGGAGGGCUUGAAUUUGAGUUGGAAAAAAACUUGGUGUCGAAACAUCAACCUUUGUGAUGAUCAACAUUUACCAAAGUUUAGAUGGAAAAAUUGACUACAACAAUAGCGUUGGAAAUUUAAAUUUAUUCAUAGCAAAAACAAAAAUAUUAAUAGGAUUUGUCUUAUUAAUAUUGGCCAAAUGAAAAAUUAACAAAAAAACUAUUACUUAUCAUUGACUUUUCUACUUCUCUAAAACACUCGUCUUUGCAAGCACUCAGUGGCCUGCUAUGAUCAAAUGUGUUUGCAUAGAAUUCUUUAUUUAUGUUUUCGCAACCUACUAAACAAGUCAAAUUAAAUCUCAAAUUUAAAAAUUAACUCAAUUAAAAUAUUUAUUAUUUUAAAAUUUUACCGUCCAUUUAAUAUAAAUAAUAUUUCACUUUAAUUUUUCCCCUCUCUCAACACCAUUUCAGUAUAAUGCAAGUAUAAUAAUAAUAUAAAAAACAAUAAUUUCUUUAAUAAAAAGGUAAUUUCAAUGCUAUUUUUAGGAGGAGAAUAAAUUAACAAUGGUGUAUUUUUUUUUUUUUGGAUCAUACGUAUAAAAAAUCCUUCAAUUAUGAUGUUAUAACAAAGAGGUCCACCAAGAGCUUUCCUCGCUUAGGCUUGGGUAGAUUCUAGCUGCAGUUCAUGUCUAGUGCCAUACAAGAGAGAAAUGCUUUAUUUUUGUGAGAAUUGAACCUCUUAGCUGAUGAAUUAGAGAAACAUUCUCUUACCAUUAUUCCCUUGCAAUCCUCGGUGGAGUUAAAUUUCUCUUGUUACGCAAGUUGUUAGGUCUACUUGCAGUGUCGUUUUGUUAUGAGUCAUGAAGGAAGAAAAUUAUUUUAUUAUUCUCUGACAAUAUUGAGUCCCAUACUCAUCAAUAUAUUCAAAUUUGCUCCUUUUUACUCAAUUUCAUUUUAUAAAAUGCAAGAAAUUGUUCUUUGAGGACCGUACCUUAAUCCAUUGUCCAGCAUUCUGGUGAUGGAGUCCUGAUAUUAUUUCAAAGGGAGCCAAAACUCUGUGGGACACCCUAAUUGAAUAAGUUUAUAAACCAAAUUAACAAACAAAAUUCCAACAAGACAACUUAAAAUAGAUCAAUUUAGAAAGUUGACACUAUUACAGUGGCCACGAAGUUCUUAGAGGCAUUUUUUAGGUCAAAAUCCACUCUAAAUGUGUGUUAGAGAGAGAGAAUAUAAUUGUUUUUUAAAGUAUUUUUUAUUCAAAUAUACAUUAAAAUAAUAUGUUUUUUUAUUUUUUAAAAUUUAUUUUUAACAUCAGCAUAUCAAAACAAUCGAAAACAUAAAAUAAUUAAUUUUAAACAAAAACAAAUUAAAUUUCAGCAAACCUCUAUUAAUUUGAGGCGCACUUCCAAACAAUGGCUUAAUAUCUUCUUUCAUCAAUGACUGCCUCAAAAUUACUCAUGUUUCAGAAUUUUAGCUUUAUUUCAGUAAUUGUUUUAGGAUUCCAUGUAAUUUUAUUUCUUGUUUUUGCCAAUGGUUGAUUAUAACAUACUAUUUAAGCUAUUUUUGAACAUUUGAAUGCUAGUUAUAAUCUUUUGACUAAAAUUCAGAAUUUGAAUCUCCUGUUGUUUUCUUGUUCUCUCUACAAGCUCUGCCAAAUAUGCAAGGUAUCAUAUGAUUUUUUUUAAAAAAAUGAAUUAAUAUAUAAUAAUAAAAAAACGUAAAUUAUCAAUUAAAAAAAUGAAAAACGAUGUUUGUAACUUUACAAGCAAAUCACAGAUUAAUAAAAACAGAGAAGACAAUAUUGUCUUAUGGUUCAAAAAAAGAGAGUAAGCUUGUUCAUGCUCGGCCAUUGUUGGACAUAAUUUUGCAGAUAACAAUUGGAAUACCAGCGUUUAAUGGAUAUGUACAACUAUGUAUAUAAAUGCAUUACGAUUAUCCGUAGCCUAUUGUUAUUUAAAAAUAAGAUUACUCCUACAAUGGACACAAAACACUAUAAAUUGUAAUAGUGCUCAGCUUUUCUUCUUCUUAUUUUUUUUUCCAGUUACUUGACACUUUUUUUACGAUUUGAUACUUUUACUCUAGGUUUAUGUGGGGUUGAACUUGAUUCGAUCCUUUUACUCUAUAAUUAUACCGGGUUGAACUUCAUAAUUUUGUUUUUAUUGGCUUGGUGUUGGGUUCUUGAGAUGUCGUGAAAAAAAAUUCAGCCCUCAAUUUAUGUUCGAUUUGAGAAAAUAAAUUUUGAUUGUAAUUAUUUCAAACAAUCGAAGCUUCAAAAGUAUAUUUGAAAAUGAAACAAAUGUGCUACAUUUUAGUUUUUUUUUUUGUCACUCGAGUUUUUUUCUUCUCAAUUUCUUUUAAAUUGAGUUGAUUUAUGAUUGAACUUGAUGAUUUGCUAAUGUUGGCUUUUUGUGGCGUUCUCGAGGCGCCAAGAAAGCAAUUUGGCGAUCGAUUGAUGCUCGACUUGGCAAAAUAAAAUUUGAUUGUAUUAAUUUAAAACAAUUGAAACUAUACGGAUCAAAUUUAAAACUGGUGCAAAUAUUCAGCUCAUUUUUUCUCAAGCCAAGGACUUAAGUGAAAAAAAAAGGGAAAAGUGGUUGGCGCGUCUAAUAACACGCUAGCAUGUUGAUGCGGACCUCUUGAUCAUGUGGUCAAUCAACCCCCCAACGAAGUAGACAACAAUCCAAAAAGUUGAAAAUCAAGUUUGAUAGAACAUUGACCCAGAAGUAACCAUGUAUCUAAGAACCAAAGAUAUUGGAAAAAGACUUGGACCCAGAAAUAACCUUGUAACUAAGAACUCUAAAUAUACGAAUGACGCUACAAAGCAAGUAAAUCUUCAAUAAGUCAAUGUACGAUUUUUGUCUCUACAAAGAAAGAUUAUUUUACCACAAACAAACAAAAGAAAAACUCGCGUUUAUUUUCCAACUUCCUAAUGAAAUUUGCAGUUAAAAAACAUAAUAUAAUCUUCUAUAACUAACCUUAAUGGACCCUUUUUAGGUUGAAUGUUAAUGGGCCUAAAUUAGUAAUUAACUAACAUAAAUUUAAUAAUGAAAUAAACCUUUAAACAACGACUAAUGAGCCAAAACAAACCCAACUUAAAAAUAAGUAUUAAAAAAAAAUAGGAUAAUAAAAAAAAGUCUUCAUGCUAAAAUUCUUCUAUGUAGCCCGAAUGUCCAAUUUUCACAUAUUCUUGGCAGAUUUUCAGUCCUAACCUCAAACACGUCGUUCUCUCCCAUCUGGAUAAAUUACUGAGCAUUCCAUAUAUGGUUGAAAAUAUUAAGAUGUAUAGUUUCCAACCCAACUUGAAUCGCAGAAAAAUUCCACCUAUAGCUCUAGAUAUGUCUCAAACAAUACACAAAAGUCUAGUCUGACAGAUUUGAUAAGAUUAUCUAGUAACCUUGACCAUCUGAAAUAAUAUGUUACCGAACUCCACUUCACCUGAAAAUAUAUCAAGAUAUAGUUCCAUAUGUCUAGUAUCUCCCUAUAAAAUUUCAGCUUGUUAUGAUGUAAUUAAUUUGUGCGACCGCGACAUCGCAACAGGGCAAAUUUGGAGCACUUAUUUGAAUCAAGAUUUGCUUCAAUCUUCAACUAAAUUUCUCUUCAAUUCUUUGUUCCGAAUUCCGACGUUAAAUUUUUUGAAAUAAUUCAUUUAAGCUUCAAAACCUAUCGAAACAUUAAAAGAAACUUCAUUACUAAAAAGCACAUCAAUUAUUAUAAAAAAAAACCCAAAUAAAAACAAUAAAUACAUAUGUAAAAUAAGAGACUUAGUGAUACUUUUGAUGCACAAUCACACCCCCCAACUUAGAUUUUUCUAGUCCUCAAGCAAAACAAAACAUAAAACCUUUGACAUAAAAAGAAUAAUAAUAACCAUAAUUAGGCUCGACUUAUCACACUUGAAGGACCUAUAAUACAAACAUUGGUAUCUUCAACUUAGUAUAUACACAAUAUCAAAUAAAGAAAAAUAAACAUACUCACAUUCUCUAAAUCAAAUAUCCAUACAAAAUUCCAAAUUCAAUUGUAUUUAUCAUGCAACCAACAUAAUUGAUUCACGCAAAAACUCAACUUGUAAUCUUCCCUUCUCACUACUACAAACAAGGUAGCAAACUAGAGAAAUAUCUAUAUAUUUUUUCUUUCUUUCUUUCUUUCUUUUUUAAUAUAUUAUUUAUUCUUUGUCUUUAAAGUGGUCACUUCCCUUUUGACGCGGAUACAAACAUUUGUAAUGAAUGCACCCGGUUACUCACAAAGUCACAAACUUAAAGUACUUUUGCAUACUCAUAUUUCAAGUUGUCGUGUGACGUAAAGAUAAACAUUUAUGAUGAAUACCCCUAGUUACUGAGCAACUUAAAACAUUGGAGUAGAUAAAACUUUGUACACAUUUAUUUAUUUAAUUAUCUAAUAAUUAUUACUUUAUUUAGGUAAACCUUGUUUAGGACUAGAUCAAAAGGGAUGAUCACAAGUAAAGCAUCACACUCAUCUUUUAUGCAUAAUCACACAACUCACACAACUUUUACAAGGAAAGAUGUACUUCAAUAAUCUUAAAGAAAAAAAAGUAUGUUAUAUCUUGCUUUAUAAGAUAUUAUCUAUCCCAAAUUAAAGAAUGCAAUGUUCAACACAAUAAUGAAUCCAAAAAUGUAAUGUUGAUCCUAAACAAGUCUCACUCACAUACGAAUGCAAGUUUUUUUUUUCAAACAAGCAUGGUCAUCUCAAGCAUUCAACAUAAUCAAAUAUCUAAAAUUAAGUUUUACAUUAUCCUCAAUGUAAAAAAGAAAGAGAAGAAAAGAAUAAAGAUUAGAAAAUUGUUACUUCCUUUUCUUUCAAGGAUGAAUGUCUGAUUGAAUUGGACAUAAGCUGACUUCUUGCUUGAUUUUUUUUUAACCUCCAUAUCACAACUAAAAGAAAACAUCAAACCAAUUUUAUUUUAUUUUAAAUAAAAAACCUCACACCCCUCAACUUAAAAUAAUGCAUUGUCCUUAAUGCAUGAACAAGUAAAUAUAAGAGUUGGAAGAAUAAGAGAGAGAAAAAUAAAAAUAAAAUAAAAACUCAUUACUUCUGAUACUACAAUGGAAUUGGAUCUUCAAGAUCCAAUGUCUCAACUUCAACAAUAAAGUUUUCAAGAUAAGGUUUCAAUCGAUGACCAUUUACUUUGAAAACAUUUCCAUUCUUAGAAUUUUCUACCUCAAAGGCACCAUGCUCAGAGAUGGAUUUAAUCACAAAUGGACCAAUCCAUUUUGUCCUUAACUUCCCAGGAAAGAGAUGUAAUCGUGAAUUAUACAAGAGAACCUUUUGACCAACAUGAAAGGAUUUUCUAAGAAUAUGUUUAUCAUGCAAAGUUUUCAUCUUAUGUUUUGAAAUUUUUGCAUUUUCAAAUGCAUCAUUUCUUAGCUCCUCUAAUUCAUCCAAUUGAAGCUUUCUAUUUUUUUCAACCUCGUUUUCAUUGUCAUUGAAUUACCGAAUAGCCCAAUAUGCACGAUGCUCAAUCUCAAUAGGAAGAAAAAUAAAAAUAAAAUAAAAACUCAUUACUUCUGAUACUACAAUGGAAUUGGAUCUUCAAGAUCCAAUGUCUCAACUUCAACCAUAAAGUUUUCAAGAUAAGGUUUCAAUCGAUGACCAUUUACUUUGAAAACAUUUCCAUCCUUAGAAUUUUCUACCUCAAAGGCACCAUGCUCAAAGAUGGAUUUAAUCACAAAUGGAACAAUCCAUUUUGUCCUCAACUUCCCAGGAAAGAGAUGUAAUCGUGAAUUAUACAAGAGAACCUUUUGACCAACAUGAAAGGAUUUUCUAAGAAUAUGUUUAUCAUGCAAAGUUUUCAUCUUAUGUUUUGAAAUUUUUGCAUUUUCAAAUGCAUCAUUUCUCAGCUCCUCUAUUUCAUCCAAUUGAAACUUUCUAUUUUUUUCAACCUCGUUUUCAUUGUCAUUGAAUUGCCGAAUAGCCCAAUAUGCACGGUGCUCAAUCUCAAUAGGAAGAUGACAAGGCUUUCCAUAAACUAGCCUAUAAGGAGACAUUCCUAAAAAGGUCUUGUAAGCAGUGCAAUAUGCCUACAAAGUAUCAACUAGUCGUAUGGACCAAUCUUUACAGUUUGAAUUGACUGUUUUCUCUAAAAUGUUCUUGAUCUCCCUAUUUUCCAACUCAACUUGGCCACUAGUUUGUGGGUGAUAGGGAGUACUAACCUUGUGAAUUACACCAUAUUUUCUCAUCAAAAUCUGAACGGGCUUGUUACAAAAAUGCUUUCCCCCAUCACUAAUCAUAGCCCGGGGCAUGCCAAAAUGAGAGAAAAUAUUUUCUUUCAAGAAUUUGACCACAGCUCGAUGGUCAUUGGUUCGAGAUGCAAUGGCCUCCACCCAUUUAAACACAUAAUCAACAGCUACAAGGAUUAAUUGGUAGCCAAAUGAACUUGGAAAAGGUCCCAUGAAAUCAAUCCCCCAACAAUCAAAUAUUUCCAAAACAAGAAUGGGGUUAAGGGGCAUCAUGUUACGCCUAAUGAGGUUACCUAGUCGUUGGCAUUGGUCACAUGCAACAUAGAAGGCAUGGACAUCUUUAAACAUGGUGGGCCAAUAAAAACCACACUGCAAGAUCUUGACAAUGGUUUUCUUGGAAGAGAAAUGCCCAUCACAGGCUAAUGCAAGAAAAAAAUUAAUGACACUUGGAAUUUCAUGAUUAGGGAUGCACCGCCUAACAAUUUGGUCAGUGCAGUAUUUAAAUAGGUAGGGGUCAUCCCAAAAAAAGGUACGCACGUUGCGCAAGAAUUUUUGUUUGUCAAGUUUAAACCAAUGAGAAGGAAUCUGAUUUGUGGCUAGGUAAUUUGCUAUGUCAGCAUACCAUGGAGAGCCAAUGUAGGAGACAGUACCUGCACAAAAUAAAUUUUCAUCAGCAAAGAGUUCAUGUAUUGGAGAUUCAUCAAUUAUGGUCUCAUAGCUUGAAAGACGGGAUAAAUGAUCAGCCAUUACAUUCUCUACUCCCUUUUUAUCUCGAAUUUCAAGGUUAAACUCUUGGAGUAGGAGGAUCCAUCGAAUAAAACGUGGCUUGGCAUCUUGUUUUGUGAGCAAGUAUUUCAAUGCUGCAUCAAUGAAAACAAUGACAAGAAAUCCAACCAAAUAAGACCUAAACUUGUCUAAUGCAAAGACCACAACUAAGAGUUCUUUUUCAGUUGUAGUGUAAUUCAAUUGAGCAUCAUUCAAAGUCUUGCUAGCAUAAUAAAUUACAUGAGGCUUCUUAUCUUUUCUCUGCCCUAAAACAGCCCCUACCGCAAAAUCACUAGCAUCACACAUGUCGCACCCUCGCGAGCGGAGCGUGGCGUCGCGGCGAUCCUCGAUUGGUUUCGGGGUCUUUGUUUUGUUUGUAAAGGAGUCGCCACCUAGUAUUAUGGUCACUAGGAAACCUAACUGGUCUUUCAGAGAUUCUAGGGCAAGGGACUGGUUGCGUAAAGGGAAGGUAUUAGCACCCCUAGUACGCCCUACCUAAGGUAAGCUGCUUGGUGUUUGGUUUGUCUUAUAAUUGCUAUGGUGUUGGUGUUUUCUAAUCCCAUCAGUUUUCUAGGUUUUGAUUCAAACUAAAAUUAUUAGGAUAGAAAUCCAAGGAAGUUCCAUGUGCUUUAAAAGCUCAUUUUCCCCUUAGUUUUUCAAGAGUUUGCGACUUGUAAAUCGCAAGGAGGAGGGACAAAAAAAUUAGAAAUCUAGGGUGCUUUAAAAACCUAUUUUUUUUGUCUUAGUAUUUUAUACUCCCACGGCUCGUAAACCGUGGAAUAAAAAAUUGAAAUGUCCUUGAUUAUAAUCAAGGCUUCUUUCAAGGAUUUGUGCGGAUUUAUUACUCCCAAUAAUAUUUUGGAUAUUCGUCCUUUAAGGAUUUCUUUAUCCAAACAUUAGCGGUGAAUAAUAGAUGAAUUCCUCCCAAAAUAAGAUUUUUGUAUUUUUUUGGAAUAUUGGCCAAUACCCUUUGGAGUUUUACAAACAUGUUGUAAAAUCCAGAAAUGCAAGAAAACAAUUUUUGGUGUUUAAGAAAUCAAUGCGAAAACACAUUUUCAAAACUUCAAAUAUUUGUUUUUUUUUUAUAUAUAUAAAAAAAAAACGUUCAAAACAUGUUAGGGUAUUGGCCGUAUGCAACACACAAAAAAACAUUUUUUAUAUUUUCUUUGUCAAAAAUACAAACAUUACAUUUAAUCACAAUAAAAAACACAUGUUAAUCAAAUUCUUAAGGCUUUAAUAAAUCAGUUAUUAAAUCCCAAAAAAAUAUAUAGAAACAUGUUCUUAUAUUUUCACGGAAAAUACGACAGGAUUUUAUUUAUCCUUCAGAUACCUGAUCAUAUAAAAAUUAAAAAAUUAAAUUCAUUUUCUUUUUUAUCUUUUUGAUUUUUUUAUAAUUCAAUGACAUACAUAAAAAAAAAAUACAAACACACACACACACACACACAUCCCUUUUUAUUAUGUUUUUUUUAUACACCCAUAUGUCAUUACAAAUAACACAAAUUUAAAAUAAAACAGACAACACAUCACACAAAUAAAAAAAAUACAUAAUAGCCCCCAAAAAUCCAGGAAACUGCUAGGAAGGCUUCUGGCAAUGCAGGAACAGUGGCGGCGCGUGGUUCUCACUCGCCGCCGCCACUGGCGGCGCGUGGGUUCACGCGCCGCCGAAAAAAAUAACAGGGGAGAUCUGCAACGGCUUCCUCCCCUCUUCAUUGUCUUCGCCGGCGGUGACAACCAUCGUGACCUGCAACAAGAAAAAAAAAAGAAAAACGCAGGCAGUUGAUUUUAAACCAUUUCUUUUUUUUUCAAAUAUGUUCUCGGUCUUCCCCCUUUUUAGAUCUAUUUCUUCUGUAGGUCUGUUUUUCUUUGUUUCACCUUCUUCUCUGUUUCAGGUGGCCGGCGGCAAGGAGGAAUUAUUUAGAAAGGGGCAUCGCUGCUGGGGAAAGGAACAGCGGUGGCUGGCCUUACUGCUGCUUGUCUGUCGCCGUUACCGUUGAGGAGACCGAAAGGGAAGAAGAUCUGUUGAAAUGGGGGGAGCUCCGCUGGUUUCUGUGAAGGCCGAAUGAGUCGGUGCCUGUGAGGGGGAGAGGGAGAUCGUGACUGAGGGGCUAUGGGUUUGUUUGACCAGCUGAGAAAGGAGAGGGACGAUGGUGGAGCGGCUGUUUGAGAGUUAAAUGGGAGACGGGAGCAGCUGAGUCUGUUUGAGAGAGAUGAGGGAAGAGACAGGGCUCUGUCGAAGAAGAAGAGAGGAUGAGCGGCUACAUUUUGUUGGCUAGGAGAGGGGGAAGAGAGGCGGUGUCCGGCGGCUCUCUGGCUUUUGGCCAAAAGAGAGGGGAUUGGCUGGAGGCUUGGAAAAAAAAUAUAUCAAAAGGGAGGGGGACCCCGGAUUGUUGGCUUGUUUUUGGCCAAGGACGGGGGCAGCCACUGUAGCCUUUUUUUAAUAAAGAGAAUAGGGUUAGGUUUUUUGUUUGCCCUCUAUUUUUAUCUCUAAAAUUCUCUCUUCUUCAUUUUUCUCCCUCUUUUCUACAUGGCCGGGUGUUCUUUUAUAUAGAAAAUCUCUACACGUGUUAUUUAAAGAAAUAUUGCAAUAAUUAUUGCAGAGAUUGUCUACUAUAACUAGCACCAACAAAUCCUAUAUAUAUGGUAUUUUUUUAAUUGCAGUGAUUAUUUUCCCUAACCAGCACGAAUCAAAUCAUAUAUAUAUAUGGUAUUUUAUAUUGUAGUAAUUAUAUAUGAUUCAGUAAUUAUCUCCUUGAUAUAUUGUUUCCUUAACCCUGAUGCUCUAUGUUACCGCCACAUGUAAGCCCUUAUUAUUAUUAUUAUUAUUAUUAUUUAUUUUAUUUAUUUGAAAAUUUGAAAAUUUAUCAAAAUAUGGGUCAAAAAUUGGGUAGCAACAACACAUCAGUUCAAAUGGUAAAGACCAAUCAGGAGCUUGCAUGAUUCGUGCAGUAGUCAACAACCCUUUAAGCUUUUCAAAAGCUCCUUGACAUCUUGAUGUCCAAUCAUGACAACAAGUUACACAAUGAUUUGGCAAUGGUACUAAAAGAAUGAAUGAAUCUUCAGUAAAAACCAGCGUGUUCUAAAAAGAAUCUCACAUCUUUCAUUUACCAAUAGAAAACGCAGCCAAAACUUGUUUAUUCACUUUCACUUCAUCACCAUCAUUCAACCACUAUAAUUUAUAAGGUAUAAGAUGUUUGGUAAUGUGCAAGUUUAAUUUUCUCAUCAAUUUAGUACUAUAAACAUUAGUGCAACUGCCACCAUCUAUAAUUAAGUCAUGUAUCUUAUUAUGAACAUGGCAUCUCGUGUGGAAUAUGUUCUUCCUCUGACCUUUCGAAUCAUCCACAUUGACAUGCAUAUUCAGUGCUCUCCUCACCAUAAGUUAAUCUUCCUCAACCGGAUACUCAACACAAACAUCAUCAGCAUCUUCCAAUAGUGGCAUCUUCUUCUCUUCAUCCUCCUCAUCGGUCUUAACCUUAUUAUUAGCUUUCAUAAUCAUGACUUUUUUUCUUGGACACUAUGAAGCAACAUGACCAAAACCCAGACAAUGAAAGCAUUUAAUGUCACGGUUAUGAGAAGUAGGAGUAACAUUGAUACCUUUAACAAUGACUGAGGUGUCUUUCUUUUCUCUAGGGUAUUCGACCUUUCCUUCCUCAUUCUGAUGUGAUGGACCACCCCCAAUGUUAGUUUUUCAAUUGGGUUUCCAAGGUUUUAAAGGGCCUGAUGGUUGGCUUUGCCAAAUGGUACCCUUCUAUUUAAGUUGUUUCUCCACCUUUACGGUCAUAUGCACUUUUUCCUCCAACUCCAUAUCAUGAUGCAACUCCAUAAUAUGAGUUAUAUCAUGAUUAAGGCCAUUCAUGAAUCAUCCAUAGUAUCCUCCAUAUCAUCCUCAAUAUUAGUUCGAAUCAUAACAAGCUCCAUCUCCUUGAAGUACUCGUCAACCCUAUUUAUACCUUGGCUUAAACUCUGCAAUAUUUGAUAUGAUUCUCUAUAAUAGUGGCUAGGCAUAAAUCUCCUCCUCAUAAGGGAUUUCAUCUAUUCCCAAGUAUCAACUUGCCUCUCAUAAUUCCUCAUGUUGUUUGCCACUAACUGAUCCCACCACACAAUGGCAUACAAAUCACAACAAGCUUGAAUUUCUUGGGUUUCAGUUAAUUGUGACACUAAAAAAUCAAGUCCACCUUCUUCUCCCGUUCUAAAUAAACUUCUAGACCAUUCUUCAUUUGAAAAACUAAUAUUUUCAGGUUAAUUGUACCUAAAUCUCCACCUAACUCCACAUUAUGAUCCCGAUACCUAUAAUUACACAUUUGGCCAAAAUUAAUACCUAUAAUUACACAUUUGUCACCAUAUUUUUCUCAUACAAACUAAGAAUUCCAUUGCUGUCCAAAACAUCUCCAAUGUCCCACGGACACAUCUUUAAAAUCAACAUCACUCAUGUCCAUAUUAUCAGCCACAAACUCAUCCACAUCAAUGUUAACUUGCCUAACAACCCUUCUAACCUUAAAUUAUCUUCGCUAAGGCCUAAUUUGAACCCUAUCAUGAUCAUUAAAAUGUUGCUUGUCCAACCUAUCUCCAAAUUCAUUGAUCAUCCAAUCCAUUCGUUGAUUCAUAAUGUGUAAUUGAGUUACAAUUUCAUUAUCUCCUAUCUCCUUUAUGUGGUGCCAUGUUGUUGCUUGCCUCCGACAUCUUUGAAUAUGAAAAUUGGUUAGUUGAAAAGAAAUAUAUAUUCUUCACCCACUCCCUUAUAUGUUUACACUCCUCUUGCAUUUCACUAAAAUAUAGGAUUUUCACUCAAAUAUACUCGCUACGUCUUUUUCUCUCUUCUCACCUUUCUUCGACUCUUGCAGAACUGAAAUCAACACCAAAUGUAACAGUUUUAGCAGUAUAUCCAAAUAUGUGUGUAUGACUCAAUAAGAAAAAAAAAUGAAAACACGCAAAGAUGAAACUACGAUUACAAUUUCACGAGUAACAAGUGAAUUUGUACAAAAAAUGAAAGUUUUGAAGACGUGAAAGAAAGAAAGAUGCAAAUGUUAUAUAAAUAAAUUUAAAUGAAAUCUAAAUAUAUCAAUUAUGAUGUUAUUAUACUGUCAUAAUUGAAAAAUAACAGCAACAAAACAAGUUUGAAUUACUUAUGCGAAUUAGACUCGUUAUGACAAGUUCCAAUCCUAAAUUUAGUUCCUAUAGAAAACGAACUCCAAAUGACCUAAAAUUUUAUAUGAGGUGCGAUUAGAACCUUAAAAACUAGUAUAUAAAAGUUGAGAAUUUUAUGAAUUUAUUUGACCUAAAAUUCUCUUUUGAUAUGAAUCUGACCCUUUUACGACAAGUUUUAAUCCCGACUUUGGUUACUAUAGCAAACAAUCUUCAAAUGAGCUCAAAUUUUAUAUGGGGUGCGAUUAGAACAAGUAUAUAAAAUUUUAGAAUUCUAUGAAUUGGUUUGGUCCAUAUUCUCCCUUGUUUAUGUACUAUGGGAGAGUUGAUAAUAGUGAUUUUUUGAUGUUUUUUUUUUACUCUUUAUGCUACUGAUAUAUCUUGCAACAACAACAAACAAAAAUAACACCUCUUUUUUCUUUUAAGGAACCCUAGACACAAACUACUAAGCUCUAGACAUGAAAUAAUUGAAAACCAAAUCAAAGACAACUAAAACUGAGAAAGCCAAAACUAACUAGAAAAUAAAGGACAUAACUUGAUUUUUUGAGCUUAGCUCUAAUACCAACUAAUGCAGACCUUUUGAUCACGUGGUCAAGUAACCCUUAAUGAAGUAAAUAACAACUUGGAAAUCCAAAAAUCACCAACUAAUGCAGACCUUUUGAUCACGUGGUCAAGUAACCCUUAAUGAAGUAGAUAACAACUUGGAAAUCCAAAAAUCAGGUUUGAAAGAAUCUUGACCCAAAGGUAACACUGUACCUAAGAAUCUCAGGUAUUGGAAAAAGACUUGGAACCAAAGAUAACCUUGUAUUUAAGAACCCUAAGUAUGUAAAUUACAUCAUGAAGCCAGUUUAUCUUUGAUAAGUCAGUGUAUGAUCUUUGUCUCUGCAAAGAAAGGUUAUUUUUCCACAAACAAACAAAGGUUAUGUUUAUUAUCCAACUUGUUACUGAAAUUGCCACAAACAAACAAGAUUUAUCUAGUAAAUUCGACCCCCUAAAAUAAUAUGUUCCAAAACUUCAUUUGAGCUCAGACAAAUAAAAUUUACCAAAAUAUAGUUAUAUAUGUCUAGUAUCCCAUUGUAAAAUUUCAGCUCGUUUUGAUGUAUGGUUUGAGAGAUAUGUCUAAUCUCAUAAAACUUGUUAGCAGACAUUUUAAGGUCAAACUCAUACUUGACUUGACUCGUAUCAUACGUGAGGGAGACCAUUGUACUAUAGUGGUGCAUGUGGUUUUCUUCAAGGUCCAAGGUUCCCUUCUUAAAUACCGUUGAGAUCAUCUUAGAGAGGGCUUUUUUAUUGGGCAACAACACGUGUUGAAGUCGGACCUCCAAUAUGGCUCUAACAAAUCCUUUUCUUUUCUUGAACCUCAUCUUUGUUUUCUCCCUCCUUUCUUUGAUUCUUGUUCCUGUUUUCAUACCCAAUUUUAAGUUUCCCCCAAAAUCAAUUUUUUUCCUUUUAAAUAAAUAAAUAAAACAAAAUAAAAAAAUGAUAAUGAAAAAAGACUAGCAACUGGGAAAGAAUAAGCUAAAAAGGAUUUUAAACACAUAAAGGAACCAAACUGAGAUUUUUGACAAAAUUAGAAACUCAAUUGUACCCAAGAUUGAAAGACAAUACAAAUUUAAGGUUAAAUUAAAUGAUUAUCAGACAAAUUUGCAUAAAAAUUAAGUUUGAGAACUUAAAUAAAUUUUUAAUAGGCUGAUUUUAUUUAAUUACAGACCUAAUUAAGGGCUUAAUUAAGCUUAAGAAUUAAUUUGAGUCAAAUUAAAUGAAUUGAUUAAGUACAAGGACUUAAUUAAACUUUUAAUAGGUCAAAUUAAUUGUAUUGGAUACUUAAUUGGUGAAAAAUGAAAUUUGAAAGCCUAAUUUAGAAUUAAUUAAGAAGAUUGAAAUUUUAGAGGAUCAAAUUUAAUUUUCACAAAUUCAAUUGGAUGAAAUUAGGGGUAAAAUUGCAAGAAAAUCAAAGUUUAGGAUCAAUUAAAGGUUGACUUGAAUAAAUUCAAGACCAAGGAUCUUUUUGCAAAAGGAGCAUGAAUUCAGGGACCAAAUUCAGUUGAAAAUAGGGAUUAAAUUGAAGAAACUAGAAGUUUAAAGGUCAAUUGAGGAUGAAAUUAAAAAUAUUUAAUACGAAGUACCAAGUUGAAAAAUAUGCUAAGCUUAUAGGGUCAUUUUAAAUCUUACAAAGGCAAAUUUAAAUUAAUUCUUAAAAUCAGAAUUGAAUUGAGGACCCAAUUAAAAAAAAUUAAAAUAUUGAGGGAUGAAAUUGAAAGAGGGAUUUAUGACCUAAUUUAGAUCAAAAGUGACUCAAACAACAAUGUUUCAUUUAAAUGAAAUGAUGUGUUUUGGUCAUAUUUUGACUACAACGACAUGUUUUAGUUCAAAAUGACAUCGUUUUAGUCAAUGCCUAGUAAAAAAAAUUAAGUCAGACAACAUGUCAUCUGACACUGUUCAUUGUCUUCUUCCUUUGGUCUCGAAAAAGUUGACCGAGAGAUCUAUUUUUAGAGUCAUUUAAUGCACCACUCACACCCUAAAUCAGACGACAAACACACCCUCUAGUAGCCUUGAACCUGUACUACACCUUCAACCUUAUUCCCGCCAAUUUACCACCUAAAAAACCGCUGAAAAGUCAACCUAAAAAGGUUGACCCAAUCAGCUUUGACAACCUUGUAUUGGCAGUACCAGGUUGGUGUUUUCUAACAAUGACUGGGGAUCCUUUCCAGGCAAAUCAAGAGCCAAGAUUCAUGGAUAGAAGGGACCCCAUGUCCCUAUUUCAUCCCCUGUAAAUAAGAGUGAAAUUUGUGAAAAAAUAGAGGAGAAAAGAGGGAGAGAAUAGAGGAAGAAAACCAAAAAAGAAAAAAAAGAGGAAAAAAGAACUAUCCACCCUUCUACACCAAAAAGCAAAGGAACCAUCCUCUACUCGUGACAUAAUUGACAUUAAAAAAAAGAGAAGCCACUGAACCUUUGUUACCCCAACCAUUAUUCCAGUAACCACCAACACACACCACCAUCCCCCAUCGUUUCCCUUUUUUCCUUUUCCCUCUUGUCGAAACCCUCAUCAGCCACCAACGGCAAGAGCAUCACCACCAACAAGUUUGUUUUUUUGUCCUUUUGAAACAAACAACGUUCGUUUUGUGCAUAUAGAACAUUAACUCACGUUCUGCUGCUGACAUUUUCCAAUAAAGGCAAUGUAAUUGGGUUAGGCGUAUGGUAAAGGUGAACGGGCCUAACAUCUUGUACGACUAGGCUAGACUGGGUCCAACUCAUAUAUAUAAAAAAAAAGAGAAGAAGCUCGUUAGGUUGUCUACUAGCCCAACAAAUCAAGUUGGACUGGGCCUAAGCCCAACCCGUGUUGUUGGAUUAGGCCAACCUAGACCUAAAGGCGUGUUUGACACGCCCUAUUUUUGCUUAAGAAAAAAUGUUUCUUUUUGGUCCUUAAGGCGUGUUUGAUAAACAUAGCCUUAAGACAUUUUUCAUGCCUUUAAUUUUAGGCUAAGGACGUGUUUGGCAAACACGUCUUAUUGCCUUUUCCUUAUUUUAGUGUUUAUCUAUACAAACCCUAAAUUAGUUCAAAAAAUUUUGAAAAAAAUUGAAAACCAUUUCAAAAUUAUUUGUGGGUCCCUCAUGUGUUUUUCAAUAAUUUUACCUAAUAUAGGGUUGCAGACUUACAUUGUAAGAUAUUGACUCGAUAAUUAAAAUACCAUGUUUUUCUCUAAAAUUUCAAAAAAUUCAGAAAAAAUCUCUUUAUUUCAAGAAUUUCACUUAAUAUUGGAUUAUAGACUUACAUUAUAAGAUAAUGACCUAAUAUUAAAAAUACUCAGUUUUUCUCUAAAUGUUUUUUAAAAAAGUUCAAAAAUCCUUCAUUUCAAAAUUAUAAAAAUAUGUUUUGUUUAAGUGCAUAUGGCCAAAUUCCAAAUUGUUUUUACAUAUAUUUUCUAAAAAAUACAAUAAAUUGAAUUUUUAUCAUGUUUUAAAAAUACAAAAUGGAUAUCAUAACCAGUUUAUGAUUAUCCAAUAGGAUUUGACCAAAAUUUUAAAAAUACCACAAAAAUUAACUUAUUUAAUUAUUAUUCAGGGUAUGGAUUUUACAAUGUAAUACAUACUCUCAAUAUUAAAUUAAAUGAGUUAGUAACAAUAAACAUAAGGAAUUAGAUGUAAACUUUAUUAUUUAAGGGUAUAAAAUUACGCUAUAAAGUAUAACCAUAGGUAUUAAAAGUACAAAGUAGGAAAUAAAUGCAUUGCUAAAAUUUAGAUCCUAAUUAACUCGUUAAGGUUAAGACUUCUUCAGGAAUGGGGAUCUGCCGUGAACCUUAGCUAAACUAACGGAUAAAAAUAUGACCUAGAAAAAUAGUCAAUAAAAAAGGCAGCUAACCAUAGGUAGAGUACAUUAGGGUGAUGCGUCUUCUCCUUGUACAACUAAUCUCAUUACCUAGACUUUUGCAGGCCAUUAGAUUUUCUAAUGACCAUGAUACUAGGUGUCGACUCCUUCAAAAUCAUAAUUUUAUGAUUAAUCUCAAAACCCUUCAAUCUAGGAGGCAGACCCGCCAUUUGAUUUUGUGCACACCCUGACAGGAUAGCGACUCCACUAGAGAUUAGUCUGAUUGGAUUGAGCUUCGUGGAUUUUUUAUGAUUGUUUACUUGCUUAUUUUUGUUGGUUUGUGUAAUUUAAUUUUGUCAUGCUGUUUUUUUUACAUACUGUCCAUGCAUAAAUACAUCGAGUAUUGAUUAAUUCCUUCAUGCAUUUUAAUUUUAAAAAUAAACUCAAUUCUAAAUUAGAUGAAAGAAUAUUAGUCUGUCUCAAUAUUUUCAAUCCGGAUUUAGAUCUGUGAAACACUAUAAGCUAAGAAUUUACUUGGUAAUGAAGAUUACACUGCACCUUAAUCAUUCCUUAUAAAGCCCCAUACUGCCUUAACUUGUUGUCCGAUAUCUCUCCUUUUAAAUCAAUGGUAAGAGUAAGGUUUUAAAUACGUUCUGCUUAAGGAUUAGAUUUUCCUUGAGACAAAAAUGAUGAGUGGUUAAGUGUUCUUUAACUUGUCUCUUUAAUGGUGGUAUUUUGCAGCUUUUUACUCAAACGAGGUAAAAUUGGGAGGUGAAACUAGGAGUAAUAUUGCAAUAUAAUGUGAAUUCAUUAAUAUUGAACCUGGUGUUUAUUUGAAUCAUUAUGCGAGGUCCUUUCAAUCGAUGCAUGCUAUCAGGGUAGUAAAAAAAUUGAAAAACUAAUUAAAUUAAAAAAACUAAAAAAAAAAAAAAAAAAAAACUAAACCGUAAAAAAAAAAAGAUAUUUAACAAUGGAUUAAANNNNNNNNNNNNNNNNNNNNNNNNNNNNNNNNNNNNNNNNNNNNNNNNNNNNNNNNNNNNNNNNNNNNNNNNNNNNNNNNNNNNNNNNNNNNNNNNNNNNUUAGUGCUCAUGACAGAUAGAAAGACUAUAACUGCAACUACUGUGUGUCACUAGAAAGUAUCCUGCCCUUCUUCGUGAAAGUUUUCUCCUCUUCGUGUCCUUGCCCUCUUGGGUUGCUUCUUAGGCUUUGAGCCUAGUGAUAAAAACACAUGAAAAUAGUUAGAAAUUCUAUUUGAAAGAAAAGAGACAUGGAUGGUACUUUUUGACCUCUUAUUUCCCAAUGGCUUUUAUUUUUCUUGAAGCAUCAAAUUGUUAGUUUGAUGAUGACUAAAACAUGAUCUGUAGGCUGGUUUGGUUUAGUAAAUCCACAACUCAAGACACUAUCAGAUGACCAAUAUAAUAUUCACAGGAAUAAAAGAUGAAAAUAUCUUGCCUGAAUUUGAAGGACAUCUUGUUGAAGUCAAUGAAGCGUCUGAAAGGAAUUGGGGGACAGAAGAAGACGAUCCCGCCUCCAAGAAAUCUGUCUAAAGUUUUUCAGCAUAUCGUAUGAGAUUACCAUGCUCCAGGAGUGCGCUUCGCAGCAUCGACGAUUCCUAAUGGCAUGGAACACAUAAAAGGAUAAGAGUUGAAAAUAUUUCACAGGAAAUGCUUGAAGAGUGAAAAGGACAUCACAUGCACAAACAGAAAAAUGAAGUUGGGUGUAUAAUUAAUGCAUAGUCAAGACCUCAAACUUAAAAUUUGAACUCAAAACAUGAGAACCAAAAUAUCUUAGAUUAACAACGUACACUUGUUAUCAACAGAUAAAAAUUUGAAUUCAAAACAUAAAAACCAAAAUCUAUCCAUAAAUUAAAAGAAAAAAAUUGCAAGGCCACUUAAAUUCUCAUUCAUCAACACUAAUGUAUAUUCAAAUAAGUGAUCAGUGGUGUUAAGAAAAAGAAAUACUUUUCAUGUUUCUUUAAAGGUAAAAAAAUCAACUAAAGUUCAUAUUUGUUUUUUUCACAAGCUUUAAAGGUAAAAAAAAAUACUUAAUACGAGCUUCCCUCAUUAAAUGAAGUCAUUUAACACAAAUAUCGUCCAUUUUGGCGGUCUGAAUCGGUAUCAAAGACACUUUUCUCUCUCUACUGUUGGAAUUUAUUGACCUAUCUCUCUCUCCUCUCUCAACCAGGGAUUAAAAAAUAACAAAAAUAAAGUUUUCUAUCAAAAUCAAAUUGGAAAAAUAUUGAGAUACUGAAAUUGUAUGAUUUGCGUGAUUUUUAAAGUUUAAAAACCAAAAUGUAUCAUUUUCAAAACUUAUGGCAUGACACCCAUGUUUGAUGCCUUUUUCAUUUUGGUCUCUUUUCGUUCAAUUUUAUCUUUUUAUAAUAAAUCAAAAUUAAUUGGUCUUUAAUUACAACUAAAUUGUCAAAAACAAAUUGAGGAACAAAUUAAAAAAACUCUAAUUAUAUGUUAACCUCAUUUAUGACCAUGCAUGGCCUUCUUUAAGACAAUAUGUCACCUUAUUUAUUCGGAAUCCUCGCCAUGCACCGAGUCCCAAAACACAAUAAAAUUCCCACUGAACAACAAAAUACCAACUUUCAGAUAUCAUAUUUGUUUUUAUUAUUUUAUAAUUGAAUAAAAUAUAUUUUUAUUUUUUAAAUUAUUUUAAUGUGAUGAUAUUAAAAAUAAUUUUAAGUUGAAAUAAUAACAUUGAUGAGAUGAAUCCGUGAGAUUAUAUUGCCCUGUAGGUUUGAAAAGGGAUAAUAUGUUUUAAUUUCAUCUUAUAUAAGAAAAUAAAUCUCAAUGUAGUGUGUUAGAAAGCAACCACCAACUAAUUAAUGUACAAUGGACCUACCAAUGAAGUGUUGGUCUAGCGGUUAAGACACUGUUAUAUCCCUGCAAGGGUAAGAACACAAGUUCAAUUCCCAGGAAGCGCACUUAUUGGGAGGGGCAGCCACGAACCCCGAACGGAACUAGUCUCACCCUUUAAAAGAAUGUGAGGAUACCUGGAUAAGAACAAAAAAAAUAAACAAUGUACCUUAGAUUAAUAUACUAUCAUUUUUGUUUUCUAGUCAUAUUUAAUUUUUCAUCAAGUGAUUAAUAGGUAUAAUUGAAUGGGUAUAAUUCUUAACGUUAAAUGCUAUGUAUUUAGAAUUUUGAUGGAUUGAGAGAAGGGAGAUAGAAAGAGAUACAAAGCAGCUCAAAAGAAGAAUAAAAAGAAAGUGGACUAGUUUUUAUUAACUAAAUAAACUUAUUUUAGGAAGCUAUAAUUAUUAAUAGUAAAUUCAAAACUUGAAAUAAAUCUUGUGGUAUAUUUCUUGUCUUUAAAGAGAAAAUAGCUAUGAACUUAAUCUCAAAACUUGUGACAAUAAUAUAGGUAAAACUAUAGAGAAAGUGAAGAAAAUAGAACAAACUAUAGUUUUAACUACCCCUAAUUAAUUCCUUGAGGAGGAAGAGUGCGAGAUUCUCAAUUUUUUGAAAGGCUAAUAUUAUACUGCUUAUCUUGGAAAUCCCUUGAAUUUAUUCACACCAUGUUUAAAAUUUAGAGAAAUUAAAUCCAUGAUUUAUUUAUAAAUAAAUUUUAUUAUUAAUAUUCUUAUUACUCCAUAUAUAGUUACAUUAUGUAAACCUUACAUUUAUUCGAGAACUCAGUGUAAACAAAUUUAUGGUCAGACACUAGUUUAAAUAGAAAAAAAAAUCAAUUAGAGUACUUAAAUAAAAGAAGAUAUAAAGUAUAAGUAUUUUAUAUAUUUUUACUAUUCAAAAAUUAAAAAUCAAAUCAAAUCAAUCCAAACUCAUAUGAAAAAGAGUUAAUUGUGACAUCAUCAUCCUAAUAAUAGAACUAAUGAAAAUAUUUUAUUGAUAAGAUUUUGUGAAAAUAAGUAUUCAAAUUGAAAAAAAUAAAAAUAAUCUGUCCAUGUUUUUUAUAUUAAUGUCUUCAUCAAUUUACAGCAGGAGAAAAGAAUGUCACCUGUUUUUAUUAUAUCUUCUUACCUGAAAAAUAAGGUAUGUAAAUAUUCAGAGCUAUUUGAGUACCAUCAAUUUUAGUAAAUUUUUAUUUUUCACUUUACUUUAUUAAUAUUAUUAUAAUCAUGACAUCAUCAUUGUAACCAUUACUCCUGUUACUUUCACUUUCACCGCCUCAACCUCUUUAUCGAUCAUAAUUAAAUUACUUCAAUAUAUAUAUAUAUAUAUAUAUAUAUAUAUAUAUGUGUGUGUGUGUGUGUGUGUGUGGAGUGAUGUUUACAUAUUUGGGUUUAAUUAAAAAAUUCAAUUUGCUACUUUUUAACAAACAGAGUUGUAAAAUUUAAGCUUAUUGGAAAGUUUAUAUUUGGAUUGGUGUUCUUUCUAUGAACACUCCCUUCAAAGCCUUGGAGCACUGCCUUCUCUAAAAAAUCUAUCAUUGUUUGCACUCGGCGGCACUGAUAAAUUAGUAAAUUUGAACUCUACUAUUACUUAUCAUUGACCUUUCUACUUCUCUAAAACACUCGUCUUUGCAAGCACUCAGUGGCCUGCUAUCAUCAAAUGUGUUUGCAUAGAAUUCCUCUUUUAUGUUUUGCAAUCUACUAAACAAGUCAAAUUAAAUCUCAAAUUUAGAAAUUAACUCAAUUGAAAUCUUUAUUAUUUUAAAAUUCUACCAUCCAUUUAAUAUAAGUAAUAUUUCACUUUAAUUUUCCCCCUCUCUCAACACCAUUUCAGUGUAAUGCAAAUAUAAUGAUAACAUAAAAAACAAUAAUUUUUUUAAUGAAAAAGUAAUUUCAGUGCUAUUUUUAGAAGGAUAAUAAAUUAACAAUGGUGUAUUCUUUUUUUUUUUGGGUCAGACGUAUAAAAAAUCCUUCAAUUAUGAUGUUAUAACAAGAGGUCCACCAAGAGCUUUCCUCGCCUAGCCUUGGGUAGAUUCUAGCGGUUCAUGUCUAGUGCCAUACAAGAGAGAAAUGCUUUAUUUGAGUGAGAAUUGAACCUUAGCUGAUGAAUUAGAGAAACAUUCUCUUACCAUUAUUCCCUUGCAAUCCUCGGUGGAGUUAAAUUUCUCUUGUUACGCAAGUUGUUAGGUCUAUUUGCAGUGUCGUUUUGUUAUGAGUCAUGAAGGAAGAAAAAUAUUUUAUUAUUCUCUGACAAUAUUGAGUCCCAUACUCAUCAAUAUUAUUCAAAUUUGCUCCUUUUUACUCAAUUUCAUUUUAUAAAAUGCAAGAAAUUGUUAAUCUUUGAGAACCGUACCUUAAUCCAUUGUCCAGCAUUCUGGUGAUGGAGUCCUGAUAUUAUUUCAAAGGGAGCCAAAACUCUGUGGGACACCCUAAUUGAAUAAGUUUAUAAACCAAAUUAACAAACAAAAGUCCAACAAGACAACUUAAAAUUAGAUCAAUUUAGAAAGUUGACACUAUUACAGUGGCCACGAAGUUGUUAGAGGCAUUUUUUAGGUCAAAAUCCACUCUAAAUGUGUGUUAGAGAGAGUCAAUGUAUAUUUUUUUGAUUGGCUUGGUAUUGGGUUCUUGAGAUGUCAUGGAAAAAAAAUUCAGCCCUCAAUUUAUAUUCUAUUUGAGAAAAUAAAUUUUGAUUGUAAUUAUUUCAAACAAUCAAAGCUUCAAGAGUAUAUUUGAAAAUGAAACAAAUGUGAUACAUUUUAGUAUUGUUUUUUUUUGUCACUCGAGUUUUUCUCUUCUCAAUUUCUUUUAAAUUGGGUUGAUUUAUGAUUGAACUUGAUGAUUUGCUAAUGUUGAUCUUUUGUGGCGUUCUCGAGGUCCCGAGAAAAUAAUUCGGCGAUCGAUUGAUGCUCGACUAAUUUUAGUAGAUUUUUUUUAUGUUAGAAUACCAAUUUUUUUUUAUUAUAUCAAUUAAAUACUUUUUUCUUGUUUUCUUUGAUGGUGUGACUUUGAUCAAAUGAAAUUGAGUUUGAGUUUUCCCCCAAAAUAAAUAAUUGUUUUGAUAAAUAAAUAAUUAUCUCUCCAUCAAGUUUUUGCCCCACCACUAAGAUGGCUCACUAUAGAGAUAAAUUUGGUCCGUGUUUUUGUUUCUAAUUUCAGGGCUUUGGUUUGAUUUAUUUUCUGUCAUUCUUGAAUAUUUUCAUUUCUUGAUAAACUUUUCCUGAAUAUGGCCGGGUUGAUUAACAACAUUUUCUUUAUUUAUCGUUAGAAUUUGAUGAUCUUUCUCUUUCAUUUCUUAAUCAGGGAUUAAAAAAUAAUAAAAAUAAACUUUUAUAUUAAAAUCAAAUUGGAAAAAUAUUGAAGUAUUGAAAUUGUAUGAUUUGCUUGAUUUUUAAAGUUUAAGGAUCAAAAUAUAUCCUUUACGAAACUUAUAGCAAAUACCCAUGUUUGAUGUCUUUUUUUAUUUUGAUCCUUGUUCUUUUAAUCUUAUCUUUUAAUGUAUAUUUUCAAUUUUUUUAUAAACUUGGUAAAAACACAAAUAUUUGGUCAGGAGGGCUUGAGUUUGAGUUGGAAAAUAACUUGGUGUCGAAACAUCAACCUUUGUGAUGAUCAACAUUUACCAAAGUUUAGAUGGAAAAAUUGACUACAACAAUAGCGUUGGAAAUUUAAAUUUAUUCAUAGCAAAAACAAAAAUAUUAAUUCCUCUGUAACAAAUUUAUAUUCUGAUAUUAGUAUCAUUUUGGUUCUCCACAGUAAUUCAUCCAUCGAAGAAAAUAUUUAGCAAUAAGGUGUUGUUUAAUUCCUUAGAUUAUUAAUAUAACCACAACAAAUAUUAUUACAUUACCAAUAUUAUUAUAAUCAUGGCAUCAUCAUUGUAACAAUUACUCCUAUUACUUUCACUUUCACCACCUCCACCUCUUUACAUGGAGUCACUAUAACAAUUACAUGCCUCUUCAUCGAUCAUAAUUAAAUUACUCCAAUAAUAUCUUUUUCUAUUCUUUACAUGAAGUCUUAAUUUAUUUAUUUUUUAUAUAUAGCUGAGCAAUUUGGAAAUCCUUGACUUGGAAUCUAAUCACUUCGAUAAUAGUAUUUUAUCAUCUGUGAAGGGGUUUUCAUCUUUUAAAUUACUAUUUUUAGAUGAUAAUAGACUGGAGGGAAUAAUAGAUUUGAAAUGUUAUACUUAUCUUUUCUCUAUUAAAUUCAAUUAAAAAAACAUAAUUUUUGUGUUGUGGUGAAUUAAUUAAUUAUUAUUUUUAUAAAUAUCAAAAAUCUUUGAGCAGCAUGGAUGAAUUGAGUUUGAGCGGCAACAAUAUUAACAAAUUGAAAGCCUCAAGAGAUCAUUAGUAACACAUUCACAUUACCUACUUGGUAGCAUGAAGAUAAUAUCUGAGUCCAUCCAUACAAUAUUAAUUAAUUAUUUUUGCUUUUGGAAUGCCUUUCUAUACGUUUCUUCCCUAACUAAAUUGCAGGUCCAAGCAACUUGAGUACUCUAUGUCUAGAUAAUAUCAUAACCUAUGGAAGUAGCUUCCAGUUACUGCAAUUAUUAGGAGCAUUCCCAAACAUCACGACACUUCAGCCGAGCAAGAUUUUAGAGGAAGAAUAUUAGGUGACGGUAAGUUGUAUGUGUAUAUAUAUAUAUAGUGAUGUUUACAUAUGUGGGUUUAAUUGAAAAAUUAAAUUUGCUACUUUUUAAUAAACAUAGUUGCAAAAUUUAAGCUUAUUGAAAGCCUGAACCUCCUCGCUAGCUUUAAUGAAUUAAUGAAAAGGUAACUUCAAUGCUAUUUUUAGAAAGAGAAUAAAUUAACAAUGGUGUAUUUUCUUUGUUUUUAGGUCAGACGUAUAAAAAAUCCUUCAAUUAUGGUGUUGUAACAAAGAGGUCCACCAAGAGCUUUCCUCGCUUAGCCUUAGGUAGAUUCUAGCAGUUCAUGUCUAGUGCCAUACAAGAGAGAAAUGCUUUAUUUGAUUGAGAAUUGAACCUCUUAUCUGAUGAAUUAGAGAAACAUUCUCUUACCAUUAUGCCCUUGCAAUCCGAUGGAGUUAAAUUUCUCUUACCAAAUUAACAAACAAAAUUCCAACAAGACAACUUAAAAUUAGAUCAAUUUAGAAAGUUGACACUAUUACAGUGGCCACGAAGUUGUUAGAGGCAUUUUUUAGGUCAAAAUCCACUCUAAAUGUGUGUUAGAGAGAGUCAAUGUAAUAUUUUUUUGAAUUUGUUAGAGGUAUUGGGUUCUUGAGAUGUCAUGAAAAAAAAAUUCAGCCCUCAAUUUAUAUUCUAUUUGAGAAAAUAAAUUUUGAUUGUAAUUAUUUCAAACAAUCAAAGCUUCAAGAGUAUAUUUGAAAAUGAAACAAAUGUGCUACAUUUUAGUAUUGUUUUUUUUUUGUCACUCGGGUUUUUCUCUUCUCAAUUUCUUUUAAAUUGGGUUGAUUUAUGAUUGAACUUGAUGAUUUGCUAAUGUUGACCUUUUGUGGUGUUCUCGAGGUCCCGAGAAAAUAAUUUGGCGAUCAAUUGAUGCUCAACUUGGCAAAAUAAAAUUUGAUUGUAUUGAUUUAAAACAAUUGAAACUAUAGGGGAUCAAAUUUAAAACUGAUGCAAAUAUUCAGCUCAUUUUUUCUCAAGCCAAGGACUUAAGUGAAAAAAAAAGGGAAAAGUGGUAAAGCAGAGCCAACGUCUUCACAGUUACCACGCACACUAGCGUCUUUAUUCUAUUCAUUUCGCAUGUAAAGCGGAUGGUAAGAUUCUUUUUUAAUUACAUCCAUUUUUUAUUUGUUGUUUUUUAUAAAUAUAUUUAACUAACAACAAUGUUCUCUUAUAGGCUACGGUUUUUUGAUGCGAACCAAGCCCGAUAGAGCUUUUGUGGAAACGCAUGUGCACACUGAUGACCGCAAAAAUGAGGUGCAAUAGCUCAUGGAUAGCUGAGCUCAGUACUUUGUGGUAUGUUGUUUUCAACCAUUGUUUUCCUUAAGUUAUUAUUUUUAUGAAUUUUUUGACUUUUUUUUCCAGUAUACAUAUAACAUCGGGUUGAAAGAGAGAUACAGUGACGAUUCUUCAACCCAUCCUAAUCUCGAUCUGGAUUUGUGAUUGGAGAUAGUAUUGUUUGGUGGACCCGAUAGAAAUCAGAUGUACGGUCUCUCUAACACUACAUCCGAGUUCUUGCAAACAACCCAUAAUUUCUCAACUGUUGGGUGCUCACAAUCGAUUAUAAGCACUCAAACUCUAGGUUCGAGGCGGUUUUAGAUCAACAAGUUAAGGAUCAAAUGACCCAUUUUGCUGUUGAUUAUGAACGACUUGGUGCUAAGACGGCCGAACUUUAUCAAUUGGUAAUGGAGAUGAGAUCACAUAUGGGUGGUACAAGUGUUCCCUCUUAUUCACCCCACGGUCCAGGUGAAAACUUGUCUCUUCCUCCUCCAAUGCCUUUAUUCUAGAUUAAUUGUAUUUGAACUUAUAAAUGUUUAAAUUUGUAAUAAAUAUUUGAAUUUUAUAUUAAUUUAAUUUUUUUAAUUAUUUUUUAUUUUUGUUCAAUAGAUUUUUUCAUAUAUAUAUAUAUUUUUAAAUUAUUAUUGACGGGGUUACUAACAGAUAUAGUCCGUUUAUAUAUUCCAGAAAGUAGAAAAAGAAUUAUUUAAAUUGUGUGAAAGUUAACUCACUCUAUAAUUAAUUAAUUGAGAAUUUGAGCUCGUUGGAAAAGUUUUGCAUGGACUUUUGUUUUCUGGAGAAAACUCCCUUAAAACCCUUGAGCAUCACCUUCUCUAAAAUACCUUCUCUAAAAUAUUUGUCUUUGCCAUAACUCAGGGCUCUGUGUCUUCUUAAGGUGAAUUAACAAGUUUCAACUCAACUCUGUAUCUUUUCUAGAUAUGUCUGUGACUGUGCCCCAUAAAGAAUUCCUCUUUUUCUCACAACCUAUUUAACAAUUUGUCCAUCAAGUUUUUUAUCAACCAUUAGGAUUUUCUUGGGAAAUGCUUGGUUUGAUUUAUUUUCUGUUAAUCUCCGAAAAUAUCUUCGUUCCUUGAUAGAAUUUUCUUGGAAAUAAUGAGUUCGUUAGAAAAUAAUAUAAAUCAUAUCCUGGAACCUCAUUUAACAGCUUAAGCUAUUGGGUUGAGAUGGUUCUUUGACAUGGUAUCAGAGCCUUAAUGACCAAACGAUCAAGAGUUCAAAUUUCACCAUCUCUAUUUAUUUUAUAAAAAUUAAGCACAAGAUAAUAUGGACCUAUGCAAGUUUCAAGUCCAAAAAGUUUUCAAUUAAAAAAAUAUAUUAGAAAAUAAUAUAAUUCAAGCUAUUAGAUUAAGAUUGAAAUAUUCGAGUUAUACUCAAUGUUUGAGUUUGCUGGCGUACCAAAUAAAUAAAGAAUUCCUCUUGAUAGAAUUUUCUUGGAAAUGAUGAGAAUGUUUUAGAAUUUUCUGGGUUGACGCCAGCAGUCAACAACUAUCUUCCAUUUCCUUGGCAUCGUGUUACAUGCCUUCGCAAAAUAUUAAAGGCUCCAAUGCCUCAAUAAGAUUAUUUUUUUAUUUUUCCCCCAAUACAUGUGUCAUUCAUCGAAAUAAUUAAUUUAAUCACAAAAAAAAAAAUCCAACUAGCAUGCCAUUCCACAAUACAAAAAUAAUUAAAAUCCUAAGUUUGAUCUAUAGAAGUCACCAGUUCGAGUUUCACAAACCUCAGGAUUAUUGGAGGUUUACAUGGUCAUUAACUUCAGGUCCCGUGGAAUUAGUCGAGGUGCGUGCAAGCUGACCCGAACAUUCACGUUAAUAAAAUAAAAAACCAGCUGCCAUUUCUUAUCAAUCAAGAAUUAAGAAAAAAUUCACUAAUAGUAAGAUUAAAAAUAAAUGUGUUAUUUAUCAAAAUAAUUAAAACCAGCUCCAAUGCCUCUCUAAUAAUAAGGAUUUUUUUUAUCUUUCCUAAAAUUAAUAAAUGUGUUGUUUAUCGAAAUAAUUAAUUUGUAGCAAUUUUUAUUAUGAUUUGGAGCUCUGUUAAUUAGGCAACAUUUGAUAAUUAUCGUGAUAUAAAAUACAAAUAAGGACAAAAAAGAUAUGUUUGUAUGUAUUUUUUUGAAACAAUUUCUCUGUAUUGUAUUUUUAAUCAUAUAUGUUUUUAUUUUUUGAAAAUACAAAUAGAUCAGGAAGAACAACCGUGCUGAGGAUGUAAAAAGCAGUUUCUCUAUGUUCUUAAUCAAAAGUAUUUCAUUAAAAAUGUAAAAAGCAGUUUCUCAUUAUGGCUGUGGGAAAUUGCCGCUCAAGUUCUAACUUUUCGGCUUUUGUCAGUCAAGCAUGUUUCAUUAUUUUAAAAAUAAAUUUAUUUUAUGAUACAAAUGAAUCUGCUAAGUGGAAGAACAACCGUGCUGUGUACGUUAAAAAACAGUUUCUUUGUUCCCCGUCAUGUUUCAUUAUUUCUUUUAUGGGGGUGCGAGAGGGUUCGUGGGAAAUUGCGUGCCUCUAGUUUUUUUUAUUAUUAUUAUUAUUAAUGUAGAUAUCCAGGUUAACUUGCGUGUACCUUGACUAAUUUCACGAGCUUUGAAGUUAACGAUCAUAUAAGCCUACAGUGACCUUGAGGUUUAUGAUACUCAAACUGAUGAUAUCUAGAAAAUAAAUCUAAAAACUGACUAGUUAAACUACACCCAUCAUGGUUCCUCUAAUUUUUUAAUUGAAAGGGUUAUGCUUAUCUAGAAACCACUUGUGAUGUUGAUGUGAUUCCUUUAUUUUAUCUAGAAGCCACUUGCUCAGAUUUUGGUAAAUUCUUAGUUUGCUCUUCAGAUUUCUUUAUCUUGAAAUUUUAGUUUGUAACAAUCGCUUUUUAUAAUCUUCAUUGUUAAAAUCGAAUUUUUUCUAAUAUAAAAAAAAUAAUAUUAAAUCAACACAAUAACUUGAGUGAAUCAAUGUCAACUUAAUUUACUCAUAACCAGGAUAAUCCUAAAAAAAAUAAAGGGAAAAAAAAGAAAGCUCAAAUCCGAACAAAAUUAAUUUUUAAAAAUAAAAUUGAAAGAGAAAAUUAAAAAUAAAACGUGAAAGAAACAAAAAUUGAGUUAAUGGUAUAUUUAUAAACAAUAAUUUUUUACGACCCUCUUUUUCAAUUCAAAUCUUGAGGGAUAAAAAACGUAUACCCACUUUGUGACAAUAAUAAUGUAUAGACAAAGUGAUGAAAAUAGAACAAACGUGUUUUUCCCACUCUCCAACCCGCUAAUUAAUUAAUCAUAUAAGGAGGAAGAGUGGAAGCUUCUCUAUUUCUUGAAAGGCUAAUAUUUCACGAAUUUUAUUUUUUUGGAAUGUCUUCACAGCAAGACAGGUUUGUUCCAUAGAAAAUAAUUUUCUGUAAUCUAUUUUUGAAAAUUUUCAUGUUUCUUUAGUAAAGUUACUAGUUAAUGAAACAUAUUUUCCGGUAAAAAUAAAAUUUGGCUUGGUUUUUAUGAAAAUAUUUUUCUUUCUUUUGGACGGAAAAAACUUUCUAAAAGUUGUGAAAAAUUCAAAAAUAUUUUGUUAUUAGAUGAUUAUAUCAAAUUUGAUCCUUAAACUUUUGAUUACUAAUAUUGUUUUAAUAGAAAAAAUUUAAAUAUUAAAAAUAUAACAUGGUCUACUUGACAGAUCCAAAUACAAUCUGUAAGAUAGUUAAAAAUAUAUAGUUUGUUUAAAAAAUUAAAAAAACCAAGAUAAUAUCUUUUAAAAAAAAUAUUAAGACUAAAACAUAUUAGAUUGAUCCUAAUCAACUUGGCUAAACCUGUCAAAUCUGAGAUCUAAACUAUGAGACCGAGAUAACCCCAUAAAAAACAAAUCGAAAUAAAUUAUAAGCUCAAUUCCUAACCAACCCAAUAUUGAAGGAUAAGAUUGAAAUACAAGAUAAAUAAAAAAAAAUAAAACAAAUAACUCAAAUUAACAUGCCAAGCCCACAACCCAAGUCAUGCAACUAGGAUAACUACAUAUAAACUAAAUCAAAACAAAUUAUGAAAUAUAAUUCUCAAUCAACCAAACAUUGAAUGAUGAAAAUGAAAAAAAAAAUCAAUUAAAAGUUCAUAAAAAACCUAACCUGGGUUAACUUGAUAUAACCCGUCAAACCUGUAACACAAGUAAUAAGACUACGAUAACCUCAUAGAAAUAAAAAUAAAAUAAAAUUAUGAAGCCUAUUUCCAAAUCAGGAUGAGAUUGAAGAAAAAAACCAUAAGUUAAGCCGUCAAAUUCACGAUUCGAAUCAUGAGAUCGAGAUAAACAAACUCAAUAUUAAAGAAUGAAAUUAAAAAAAAAAACCUUACAAAACAUAUAUGGUUUAACAAUAUUAAUCAACUCUUAAAAUAUUUCAUUAUAUAUAUAUAUAUAUUAAAAAUAAAUAUUAAAAGCUAUUAUAUCAAUUUAUGAAUAUGUCAAUUUGAAUGCGAAUUAUAUUUGUAAAAUGUAGGGGUGAGCAAAAACACCGAGAAACCGAAUAAACCGAGAAAACCGAGAAAAAAAUAACCGAAAAAAUCAAACCGAAAAAAAAACCGAUUAAACCGAUUAAAUUUUUUGCAAAAAUUUUCGGUUCGGUUUCGGUUUCAGAAACCUGAAACCGGAAAAACCCCAACCGAACCGAACCGGUUCGGUUUAAGGGGUACUAUAAAUACAAAAAAAAUUGCGUUACUUUUCUUAACCCUAGCAUCCAUACUCCUGCUCCAGCCGUCCUUCUCCUUGCUCCUGAGCCGCUCCCUCAACUCACAAUUCACAAUUUCACAUCUGUAACGAAAUCAAUCCAUCUUCAUCUACUGGACCACAGCCAGCCAUAUCCCUCUCCCACCGGCCACCGUCUUCAUCUUCAAACCCCAGUCAGCCACGUCCCUCUCUCACACGGUCACACCCGAUCUUGAAUCGUAGGACACACACCACACCGGCUCACCGAACCUCCAGAGUCCAACUCCAGAUCCAGUCAGGCAGUCACCUCCCUCUCUCACACCCGACCUUGAAUCGUGUCACACCAGGUAUGGUUUCUUUUUUCUGUCAAUCUCUGUUUUUUUUUUUAACAUAUGCUCUGUUAUUCCGUUUAUUUUUUAAUAUACUUCUUAAGAAGAAAUUUAUGACAGAGACAAUGUGUUUUUCUUUGCUGAGAAAGACAAUAUGUUAAUGAAUUCGUGUUUUAUUAAGGUCAUGAGUAGCAAUGAAAAAAUAAUGGAAUCUAGAUUAAUAUCAGAAUGAGGGUUAAUUUAAUAAACAAACUCUUGCAUGUUAAUUUAAUAUACAAAAUGCAGAUUGAUUGUUCCAAAUACUAAAGCUAACAACACAUCACUGAAAGAAAUGGGAAAAUGGGAAUAAUUGGCACUGGUAGUGGUAAAACUUGAUCAUUACUAAAGAAACCUCUUUGUGCCGUUUUAGCUAGAGAUUAGAGAUCGAAUUCCACUCAUACUCUGAGGUGGAGUACUGGUAAAAGAUUAGAAAAAUUAUCUCAUUAUGUCAAUAGCCAAGCAACUGAAGAAGAAAAUGAUACUAAAAAAAUGAUAAAAGCUUGCAAUACCAAUGCGGUGAAUUGGUAUUACGAGCCUGAUGAUAUUACAUCAGGGAGAAAAAUGGGAAAAGACAGUUUCCCCGAGAAGCAUUUGUUUUAACUAUCAUUGCUAAUCCAUUAUUAUGGUGUGCUGUGUGCUAAAAAAACAGAAAAUAAUGUUUAUUAUCUGUGUUAAAAAAAGGGGGGGUUCGGUGGAUUGUAAUUUAUCAAUUCUGAAAACUGAAUUUUUUUUAUUUUAUGAAAAGAGAAUAAUGUUUAUAUAUAUAUAUUGUAUUGUAUUAUUGUCUAUUGAAAUUACAAAAUACAAUCUCAGCACUCAGCAGCAUAAUGUUUUUUACAACAUAUCAACCAAAAUAAAAGAACUUAACUUGUGAAAAUUGUUUGCAAUCAUCUAACAUGUUUAAUUUUUUAUUUUGUAGAAUUUGGUGGAAAGUUACAUUUAGUAACGGAUGAUAAUUAGUUCAAAAGUUACUUUGAUGGUAAAAUACUACUUUUUAUUUUUACAUAUUCUAAUUUAUUUUAUCAUGUUAUAAUUUUAGAUCUUGAUUUUCAGGUUUUGAUGUCAAUGGUAUUACGGAAUCAAAGUGCAAUGUUCUUGUCAUCUUGAUGUGCUUUUUGAUUGAGAUGAUGUGCACAAUGAAGAUUUAUAUUUUUUGCAUGAAGUAUUUUAUUUUUUGUGGCAAUGUUAUUUGUUGUUUUUUUAAGCCCUUUUGAAGGCAAUGCUUUGUAAUUUUAAUUUUAAUUUGGUGUGUGUGUUAUUUAAACUUUGAUGCAUGAGGAGUCCAAACUCCAAAACAUAAAUAUUAGAAAGACUUGCAAUUAGCACUAAUAAUUUAAUAUAAAUGAAUAUUUAGUGACAAAAAAUAUUAAAUAUAUUAUAGAAUUUUGUAACAAAAUUAGAUAAUAUUUACAUUAAUUACAAGCCCAUCAGAAAACCUAUUAAAAAGCCCAAAAAAGCCUAAAAAAGGCCAAAAAAUAAUAUAGGUUUUCUGGUUUUUCUGUUAAAAAAACCGAACCGCAACCGGUCGGUUUGAACCGGUUCCGGUUCGGUUCUGGUUUGAAUUUUUAAGUUUUUCAAAAUUUGAUUUUGGUUAGUUUUUUAGAUAAAAACCGAACCGAACUGAAUUUACUCACCCCUAAUAAAAUGUUAUAAAAAAAUUAUAUACGACAUUAAUGUUUUGUUCAUUGAAACCAAAGUUACUAAAGAUUGUUAGACCUAGUACUCGGAUCAGGAUUUAUGUCAUGGUUUGAGCAAAUUAGCUUAUAUUGACAGGUGUCAAUCUCAGAUUAUGUUAUUUCAAGAUAUUUUUGAAAAAAAUUAAAAUUAUUUAAUUAAAAAAAUAAAAAUAGUUUUUGAUUAAGUUAACUAGAGUAUGGAUUCACUGGUCAACUCUCAUUUAAUUUUUUCUAACCAAAUUAAAUCUCAGGUGAACCUUUCAUGCCGAACCAAAUUUAAUAAGGCUGAUUCCUUCUUGGAAGUUUGACCCCAAGUCAAAGUUGUUUCUCUUAAAAAAAUAAUAAAAAAAUGAAUAAAGGUUAAUGCUAUGAGCUCACUUUCCAUUUUCAAGACAAUGAUGGAUAUAGAAAACUGGCUACUUUCCCAUUUCCAAGGCAAUGAUGGAUAUAGAAAACUCGCCACUUUCAAGGUUAAUGUUAUGAAAUGUUUGGAAGUGUUGUUACAGUUAUUUUUUAAAGUAUUUUAUAUUUUAAAAUGUAUCAAAAUAAUUUUUAUUUUAUUUUUUUAAAAUUAAUUUUGACAUCAACACAUUAAAACAAUUUAAAAUUAAAAAAAAUUAAUUUUUUUAAAAAUACAGGUUAACCCACGUUUCCAAACUAUAUCUUUAUCACGAAUCAUGCCUUUCGAAUUUAAUGGAAAUUACGUGUGGCAGAACUAAAAGUGCUCCUUAAACAUUUGUGAUUUGACAGUUAGUAGUGAUGAUUAUUUUUUAAAUUAAUCUUAAUUAAUUUUAUAUUAGUUUUUUCCACGGCAUGGGUCCGUGAAGUCCUCUAUAAAAGCCUGAGCCUCCUCGCUAGCUGUCCUCUGUAACAAAUAUUGAUCACCAUUUAUAUUCUGAUAUUAAGAUGGGGCUGUUCCUUCAGAUGUUGACGGUGUUAGUGACGACGGUUUCCCUGCAAGGAUGGCUGCCUCUUGGUUGCUUGGAUGAAGAGAGAAUCGCUCUGUUGCAGCUCAAAGAUUCUCUUAACUAUCCCAAUGGCACCUCCCUUCCCUCCUGGAUAAAAGCUGACGCCCACUGUUGUUCUUGGGAACGUAUUGAGUGCAGCAGCAGAACAGGUCGAGUCACCGAACUCUAUCUUGAGGAAACAAGGAAUGAGGAAAUGGGAGAUUGGUACUUAAAUACCUCCUUGUUUCUUCCUUUUCAACAACUCAACUCUCUCUCCUUGUGGGGUAAUCGUAUAGCUGGUUGGGUUGAGAAGAAAGGUUUGCUCUCUUAAGUAUUACAAAAUACUUAGAUUAGUUUUGUAUUUUUAAAUUAAUCAAAUAAGGUGUAGUAUCAUUUUGGUUCUCUACAGUAAUUAUCUGAAGUCUUAAUUUAAUUUUUUUUUUAUAUAUAUAGGUGGUUAUGAGCUGCAAAGAUUGAGAAAUUUGGAUUACCUUGACUUGGGAUCAAAUAGUUUCGAUAACGGUAUUCUAUCAUCUGUGGAGGGAUUUCCAUCUCUUAAAUCAUUAUAUUUAAAUUAUAAUAGACUAGAGGGGUUAAUAGAUUUGAAAGGUUAGUUUUUUUAUAUACUAUUAUUUUUAAUUCACUAUUAAAUUUAAUUUAUAUGGUGUAGUGAAUUAAUUAACUAUUAUUUUAUAUAAAUAUCAAGAAUCCUUGAGCAGCUUGGAGGUCUUGGGUUUGAGCGGCAACAAUAUUAAUAAAUUGGUAGCCUCAAGAGGUAAUUAGUACUUAGUAGCAUCAUGGUGAUGAGCCCAUCCAUACAAUAUUAAUUAUUCAGUUUCAUCCCUAACUAACUUGCAGGUCCAAGCAACUUGACUACUCUAUACCUGCAUAAUAUCACAACCUAUGAAAGUAGCUUCCAGUUACUGCAAUCAUUAGGUGCAUUCCCAAACCUCGCGACACUUUAUCUGAGCUACAACAAUUUUAGAGGAAGAAUAUUAGGUGAUGGUAAGUUAUAUAUAUUUGAGCAGAGUUGCAAAAUUUAAUUGAAAAUUUUGAAAAAUAUAAUAUACAGAAUACAAAGGUAGUGAUGUUUAUAUAUUUGGGUUUAAUUGAAAAAUUCAAUUUGCUACUCCUUUUCUUUUGAGCAGAGUUGCAAAAUUUAAGUUCAUUGGAAAGUUUGUAUCUGGACCAGUGUUCUCUAGAUGAACACUCCCUUCAAGGCCUUGGAGCACUAUCUUCUCUAAAAAAUCUGUCAUUGUUUGCACUCAGUGGCACUGUACCUUCUGGAGGUAAAUUAACAAAUUUGAACUCCACUAAUACUUAUCAUUGACCUUUCUACUUCUCUAAAACACCUCUCUUUGCAAGCACUUAGUGGCCUGCUAUGAUCAUAUGUGUUUGCAUAGAAUUCCACUUUUAUGUUUUUACAAUCUACUAAACAAGUCUUGGAGAGACAAUUAAAUCUCAAAUUUAACUCAAUUGAAAUCUUUAUUAUUUUAAAAUUCUACCAUCCAUUUAAUAUAAAUAAUAUUUCACUUUAAUUUUGCCCCUCUCUCAACACCAUUUCAGUGUAAUGUAAAUAUAAUGAUAACAUGAAAAACAAUAGUUUCUUUAAUGAAAAGGCAACUUCAUACAUAGAGAGUGCUAUUUUUAGGAUGAAAAUAAAUUAACAAUGUUGUAAUUUUAUCUUUUAGGUCACACGUAUAAAAAAUCAUUCUUUUAAAUGGCCAAUACAAUUUCUACACUUACCUUAUGUUUUUAGUUUUUUUUUAGCCAUGAUUAAUAAGUAAUGAAUUAUUUCCAAUCUUAAUUCCUUCUAAGUUAAUAUAAUUUCUUGUUUAAUUGAUGUGACAGUCUUUCUUGAUCUCAAGAACUUGGAAUACUUGGAUUUGAGUUCCAAUACUCUAAAUAAUAACAUCUUCCAAGCCAUCAGAAUGAUGAACUCUCUUAAAACUUUGAUUUUGAUGGGCUGCAAACUAGAUGGUCGAAUACCUAUAGCCCAAGGUAAGUGUAGAUUUGAGUUCCAAUACUCUCGAUAAUAGCAUCUUCCAAACCAUCGGUAAAGUUGAUUACUCUUACUCUAUCUCUCUAUAGGUUAUAUAUUUUUCAUUAGACACUUAGAGUUUUAAUUUUUCCUAAAUUAUAAUGUGAUCAGGCCUAUGUGACUUAAAUCAUCUCCAAGAGCUAUAUAUGUAUGACAAUGAUCUGAGUGGUUUCUUGCCUCCGUGUCUGGCAAAUUUGACUUCCCUUCAACAGCUAGAUCUCUCUUCCAAUCACUUGAAGAUCCCUAUGUCUUUGAGCCCAUUAUACAACCUUUCAAAACUCAAGUAUUUUGAUGGUUCAGAUAAUGAAAUAUACGAAGAAGAAGAUGAUCAUAGUCUGAGCCCAAAGUUCCAGUUAGAGUCCAUCUCUUUGAGCAGUCCUGGACAAGGUGCAGCAACAUUUCCCAAGUUCCUUUACUAUCAGUUCAGCCUGCAAUCUUUGCAUCUUACAAACAUCCAAAUAAAGGGAGAGUUUCCAAAUUGGUUGAUUGAGAACAACACAUACCUAUAUCAUCUUUCUUUAGAUAAUUGUUCUCUUUCGGGUCCAUUCUUGUUACCAAAGAAUUCUCAUGUGAAUUUGUCAUUCCUAAGUAUAUCCAUGAAUUACUUCCAAGGCCAAAUCCCUUCAGAAAUCGGAGCUCGUUUGCCAAGGUUAGAAGUUUUAUUUAUGUCUGACAAUGGUUUCAAUGGAAGCAUUCCUUUGUCGUUGGGUAACAUUAGCUCGCUGGAAGUGUUAGACAUGUCCAACAACAGUUUGCAAGGGCUGAUCCCUGGAUGGAUAGGGAAUAUGUCUUCUCUUGAAUUCUUGGACUUAUCAAUGAACAAUUUCUCUGGUCGUUUACCACCUAGAUUCGGCACUUCUUCAAAUUUGAGAUAUGUUUAUUUGUCUAGAAAUAAGUUGCAAGGACUUAUCACAAUGGCAUUUUAUAACUCAUCUGAGA